AGGAAUUCUCUGGGGCAGAUGAGUAAUCAGCGGAGUUUUUUUUCGGUGGAAGAAGCAGAAAAAAAAACUCUGGGGCCUCGGGGAAGAGGGAAUCAGAGGUUGGGGCGUUCAAUGAGUAAGUAGUCCGGGUCGAGAUCCAUCCUUCUCAGAUCGAACAACUGCUCCUGAAUAUCCGAAUUUCGAGCUGGCCUACCGGGGACGUCGUUCACUUCGUUCACGACGGGCGGGGACUCAACAAUGCUUUCCUGCGGAAUGAAAGGCCUAAAACGCAGACCGAAGAAGCAGGUCUCGGCAUAGAAAACCGCUACGCUAAUGACGUGGGGCUUAGCCCUAGCGAGAGAAUAUCAUCAAAGGAGGGAUCAGCCCUGGGUCAUUCAACUUGCCUCAACUAGUGGAUUAGUCGAGUCAUUGCACUCAGACUUCAUCUCGCUCCUGACUUAGCGAGACUCAUGACAAGAGUGGCUGUUCUUUUCUCUAUUUUCCAUAUCAAAGGCUGAGGGCUCAUUGCAAGGAUUGUCGUUCUGAUGUUUCUCUUGAGAAUCAAAGAUGAUGCGCCCUAUGAUAGAAAAAAAGUGACUUUGCUCGAUCCAUGGGGAGCCUAUUCUAGUCUAGCAGCGCCUAUUCAGGAAAAAGAGAUUUGGGGAACCGGAUCGUAUAUCAGUUUGGAGUUCAGCUCCUUAUCUUAUGGCGAGCGUCUUUGCUUGCUUCUAUCUAGGGUGAAAGGACCUCUUUAUGAUUUCGAGUUGACCUAGCGGCAUUCUGUUUCAAAUUCUCACGCGUUGUUGCAUCAGGGCAUCUCAAUUAAUGGACUGAGGACUAGGGCAAUUCAGGUGAAUGCUAAAGAUAGAACCCGAGAAAAGACCGAUUCCUUCUCCUCUCGUCCCAAGCCAAAGGGAAAAGGGAUCGAGAUCACCGAGCAGUUUCCCCCUGAACUCCCUGCACAAGCUCGUCCAGCGUUGAAGAAGGAAGGGAUCUACGCUUCUAUUUUCACCCACGCCGAAAAAGAAGGAUCGAUAACCCGACGCACUGCCAAGGCCAGGGAAGCUCUCCAGAACAAACCGAAGCACCUGUACGACAGGAGGAUGUGGACAGUAUGCUGGCACGUAUGCAGGCCCAGCUGGAAGAAAAAGAUCGCCAAAUCGCUGAUCUGAAUGCCAAGAUGGAACAGAUACUGGCUAUGAUGCAGACCGUCAUGCCUCAACGCCAGACGCCUCCGUCCCCGGCGACCCAACAGAACAAGGUCAUCAAAGUGUGUCUGGGGGAUAUGCCUAUGAUCCCCGAAGAGAAGCCACCUGAGAAAAAGGCUAUCUUAGGCGAAGGGAAGGGGGAAAAGAAGAAAGCGGCGCUCGAAUAAAGGAAAAGAAAGACUCUUUCCAGAAAGACAAAGUCCGGAAGAUUUUCGAUGAUGCCGUCAGAAGUGGGCUACAAUUGCCGAAAUGCAAGAGGCCUCACCAGGCGGACAAAAUCGGUAACCCCAAUGACUUACUGUCUCUAUCAUCGUGUUUUGGGACACCCCAUAGAAGACUGCUACGUCUUCAAGGAUUGGGUACAGAAACAAUACGAGGAAGGCGUAAUCACGUUGUCCCCUAAGGUGCUAGUGGCGAUACCUACAGAACACACUAAGGUAGCUCAAGUAGUCCCCACCAAGGAAUUGUUCUGGGGGCAGGAAGAUUGCUGUCACGUAAAUGUCGAAAGCGAUUCCUCUUCUUCAAAAGAAGACCUUGGGUUCCCCGAAGAAGAACAGAACCUUCCAGCGGUAAACCAGAUGCCGCUGAGGAAGGGAAAGGUCCUACCUGAUCCUCGGCCGCCGUCAGCCAAAGAGAAGGGUAAGGAGAUAGAGAUCGCUGAAAAGCUCCCUCCUUCACCUCCCGCACCAGCUCCGGCUAAGGAUUAGAACAUCCUCGCUCAUCUAAAGAAGAUCCCUUCACUGCUAAGCGUCUAUGACGCGCUCCCAGAACUGCGCCAAGCAUUGAUCGAUGCGCUGAGGGACCCGGAGAAGUAUCAAGCCCAUUUCUCUUAAGUAAACAUGAAGGAGGCGUUGUAUGCUCGUUAUGCUGCAACGAUCACUUUCACGGAUGAUGAUCUUCUACUGGGGACAGCGGAACACAAUCGCCCUCUUUUUAUGUUACGGGAAUGAUUGAGAGGGAGAGAAUCAGUCGAAUCUUGAUCGAUCCUGGCUCUUCAGUCAACUUAAUGUCCUUCCGCACGUUGAAAAGGCUAGCGUUGGACAUUCCGAACCUCAGUCCCGAGAAUGUGGUCAUCCAAGGCUUCAAUCAGAAUAGUCAGACCGCACUCGGAUCCAUCAUUUUGCCUUUGCGCCUAGGUAGCUUGGAGACUGAAGUUCAGUUUGAUGUGAUUAAUGCUGAUACAUCCUACCGGGCUUUACUGGGUAGACCAUGGCUGCACGAACACUUUGUGGUGCCCUCUACUCUCCACCAGUGCAUGAAAUACACUCGGGAUGGCGAAGAAAAGAGAAUCGACGGUGAUAUCAAGCCUUUCGCUGUCCAUGAGAUUGGGUAUUCGGAUGCCCGUUACUUCAUUGAUGCAUCCGCGGCCGCGCAAUCCUCAGGGUCGAGGGGUGCGACUCCAAUUAGAGGAAGAGGCCGCGGCAGAGGGAGGAACAACCCCAGGGCUGCCCAAAGGGGCAAAGGGAAGACCGGCGCCUAAAGUUCAUGUCAGAUUAUGAAACCACAUUUCGGAAGCGACACUGACUCCUCCGAUGAAGAAGCUCCGGGAGGAGAGGGAUGUCAAGGGAUUGCUGAGACCUCAGGUAGCAGAACAAGGCACUGGGGAAGCAGCAGCUCUGAAGAAGAAGAAGAUGAGGAAGAGAGAGACGAAGGCAAAGUACCGGCAGAUCCUACUGAGCAAGAGGAGAAGCCUAGGGAUCCGAUUGUCUCUGAAAAGCCAUUAAAGAUCACCAGGCUACCCAAGGGACUCACUAAACCCUUAGCUAAGCUGGAAGUCUCAGUGGUCGAGCAGCUAAAGACAUUCUAUGUCCCUCCAUCGCAGGCAGGGAAAAGGGGAACACUCUUCUAUAGAUCAACUCAACAGCCCCUAUGGCGCGAAGAAAUGGAAGAUCCGGCCGAAUAUAUCUUCGAGCGCGUCAAGAUCCCUCGAUACUACUCGCCCAAGAUGAAGGAACUCUUAGAAAGGUCGGGCUACGACUUCAAACAGUCCUACGCUCGAGCUAAAUUCUUCCAGAGAAUGUGGAAUCCACCCCAGAGACGAGCUGUCCUACCUGACGGUCGCGUUGCCCACACCAGAGGACUCGGCUUCGGGAGGCCCACAACCUUUACUUGCAACGUGGUCAGGAGAUUCGUCUUCCGAUUCUGAAACCGAAGAGCCUGUGCUUCCUCUCCAACGUCCAAUGGGAAUUAUAACCCGAGGGCACUCCUCCAGUGAGUCUGAGCGAUAAGAUUCUCCUUCACACCCGCCUGAAGAAGCAACGCAGAGUGAGGAAUGUGAAGAACUGGAGAUGGAAAAGCCCGAAAGUCCCAAAGCUGCACCUCCUGGAGAUCCUCAAAGCAGCAUGGCCCAGGAUGAACCAACUCUUUUCCUCAAAUUUUUUCCCGAUAUCCUAGAAGCCCCCUCAUCCUUGAACCCCAAACGCCCGACGGGAUACUCAACCAACAGUUUGUCAUCAGAUAAAGCUUUCACAGCCGCGUCACGACGGCAGGAACCCCACAUUGCUGUGAGAAUCCCUGUCAUCGCAGCCGCAGCUCGACAGUAAAUCGAAUCAAGGUUAGGGACCUGAUGGUUCAAAGACCAAGGAAACGAAUCACAAUCGGCGUCGUCAGCCCGGGUAGACGACACGAGGAAAGAAUAAAUAACAAAACAGUGGGGUAAAGUAUCGAGACGUCCAAUCAAGGUUCUCAUGCUUAAAUGGCCAAAGGCGGGAGGCCGUUAAAGGAGAUAAUAACUCCUGGGCCCCCAAAAUGACAGCCUUAUCCCAAAAACAAACGGAAAAAAUAUCCCAUUUCAUCCGAUGGAAUGGAGAGAAGAGCUUGCCUUUUACUCCCAGGGAAGUUUCCUUCACUGGAGAUGAAGACCAUUGAGGAAUCCAACGAAAGCCAACAUCCAUUGGGAUGUUGAAGAAUUGAGGGACAUACCUUCCGAGACGCACUGGGACACAUAUCAAUUUAUAUUCUUCCGUUGAUAGGCCCAUUCCCUUCAGUAUAACCGCUCCUCAACCACCAUAUGCAGUCGCUCCUGCGGGUUUCAUUUCCCCGGAUGAGGCAAAAGCGCCGGUUACCUUACAAACAUCUGGGAUCAGGGCGCGCCCUUACAACCACCUAACCCCAGAGCGCGUCCUUACUUGCACCUGAAAAGCCAAGUGCGGAUAAUUGCCCAUCCCCAAAAAAGAGUAAUUCCUGCCCUGCCCGUAGGAAUGAUUUUCUCUCUGCUGCGGCCAAUGAAAUGUCAACACGGAUUAUCAACCAAAUAGAGGGGAGUCCUCCCCAACGGAUAGAUAGCAUCCAACCAAGGCUUUUUCCGGGUAACCCCACAGAGGCUGCGGGAGCACCCUAUGCUGGGGCAUAGGUAGGCAGCCACCACCUGUCUUAGCUUUCCAAUUAGCUUAGUUAUAGAUAGGUCAAAAGGUUUCAAUGGGUGCUUCAACCGUGGGUCCAUUUAUUCACCGGUUAUAGAUUUGCAUCUGCAUCUGCCGUUGGUGGUUAUUGAUCUCGGUCUAUAGUUCGGUUCUACUUACAGUUCUCUGGCGCACCUAAUGCGGAUCAUAGUGACAGUUCUCGCCACACUCUUUACCACCAUGACUUCUUACUGCUCUUGCAGCGGAUCUUGGUACCUGAAAACACACUACCCUAUCACUUACACCAACCGUCUUUCUCCUUCCCAUGGGUCCCGCUCCCGCUGUAAUCCGUACUCGGUUCUGCUUUUCUCCAACUCUCACUCUGGUUGCUGACAAGGUGAGGGCUGUACCUGCCCCUAUGGUACAUGCUUUCGACGAUCCGUGGUGUGUGUGUCGUAUUCUCUCGUCCCUUUCUCCCUGAACCGUCUGUGACUAGCCUUAGGCUUUCUCAACCAGCUCAGAAAUAAGUGUUCAGUCGAAUCAAAACACAGCUUGAAAAGGUGAAUCGGAAUUCCGCCGAGUCUGAACGCUUUCUCAAGAUGAUGAUUUUCUCGCUCAGCUAUAGCCGUAGACGACUAUUUGGGUCAGCUCCUCCUCUGAGGAGCCUUUCUCGCCUCCCACCACUCAUAUAGUCAUUUUUCUAGCCCGUUGAGCUACUAAUAGGAAAGAAAGGUACCUCCCUUCUCCGGGAGAGUCGACGUUAAAAAAGUGAACCUUGGUGGCAGAGCCAGAAGCACCGGACAAGAUGUUUCGGGGUCUCCUUCCUGCAAGUAUACUGAGAGACUCGUAUCUAAAAAAUUCUUUCUAUCCAUCUCUGAAUCAUGGGGCCCGAAACAUUGUUGAUAUGGCCGGUAGUGGGCAUAGUACAGUGGCAUUUACGUGUUCCCAACAGACUUUGAAAAUCACCGAUCCUCGGAUCGUCUCGUCUCGCAAGCACAAUGAGCCGAAAAGCACUUCCAUUAUGGACAUCGGGAAGGCGGCGGCACCGUGGCCAUAUCGAACUCCUUGCCUAAUGAGUCCCUUUCCAUGAUCUCGUGUCGCCAAACUCUCGGAUUCGCUUUGCCUUUACUUCAAAAUACGCUACUAAAGGAUUAGAGGCAUCUCGACUCGCGAUAUCUCACUCGCACAUCUCGGAUUGGACAUGACUCAAUGACUUCAUCCACAUCUCGAUUCGCGAUAUCCCACUUCCACAUACUUGAGUGGAGUGCUCACGCCCUUUAUCAAAUUGAUAUGCUGACGCGUAUAAACACUCAAAGAAGCGUAUAAAGGCUGAAAGAAAGUACGAUUCCCAAUACACCAACUGCGCUCAACUUGCACGCUUCACUCGCUCAUUUGAAAAAAGCAGGCACCUUGUUGCAGCCAGCCGACAAGGAAAAAGUGACGACCACGGGCCCUUUGGCUAUACAGGUUUCAUCGCCGAUUCCGUGUGGUAACAGCUUGUGGACAAAAGGAACCAUCGAAGAACUAACUAUAAAAUGAAUACUAACUUACCUUAAAGAAAGGCGCAAUCGAUGUUCUUCCUUUUGGAAAGUAGAUUGACUGUCUCUCCGCUUUCUGCGCAACCUUCCAGCCUGAAACUUCCUUAUACAUUACAUGAUGGGACCUUUCUUUUCAGUCAUUUGACUUGCAGUCAAAUUCCCUGGACUUGAAUCAAUGACUUAAGGCCUAUUCUGGAAGAUCUUAUAGGCAGUAGCCCGGGCAUUCCGUACAUCGCUGCCGUCCUUCGUGACUGCAGGAAGUCGAUGGUUGGAUACACCAAGCAAGCCCCCAAAGCUAAUGGUCUCCAACUCCGUCCUAGGCCUCCUUCUAGUCCGACUUCCCUAAUGUUAGGUGGUAGCAUGUCAGGCUCAGCUAAAGCCGCUCACACACAGCAACUCCAGCUGCAACCGCCAAAGCAAGAGGGUAGGGGUACGUUCAAAAUUCUGCUACUCAAAUGUACUCUUUAAUGCUCCCGGUCUUUGUUCUUUAGCCGGCCGAUCCAUAGCCGUCGAAACAAGCAGCACGGGGAUGGCGCAUAUACCUUUCCUUUUCUCUCCUGUCUUUUUCCUCCACAUCGCUUUCCUCCAUCUCAUCAACCCUUCCAUUUCUUUAUCAAAUUUGAAAGCCUUUAUUCCCACAAAGCAAAGCCACCCUCAACAGUAGAUUCUCUUGAUUCGGUUGAGGCGGAACAACCACAAAUAGUAGCAUCCGCCAUCACCAGCAGCGAGACUAGUGCCAGCAUCCUUGCCUCUUCCAGCAUCCCUUAGCGUUGAUCCACCAGCGGCUUCACUCUGAAGCAAAGGCAGGGGCACUACCAGAAGCAUACCUUCCAUAUCGAGAUCGUGAUCCAGAUCCGUAUACGAGGCUAUAAGCACCAGAGCAAGCACCAAUAGCAGUUGAUCGGGAAGUAUAUCCAAAAGUAGAUCAGGAUGGAUCUUCUCUCUUUCUUCUUUUACUUAACUCCGAAAUCUUUUCUUUCGAUCCAGCAGUGGAGAUAGAGACAGAGGCAGAUGCAUUUGACCGAGUGGAGACAGCUGUGGAAGCUGCAAUCCUGGAGGAGAGAAUGAAGUAGGUAGGGCCCGCGGGACUAGAAAACUCGUUUCCCUAUCUAUCUCUCUCAUUUCUUCUGGUCGACGGCCUUCCUCUACUCUUGCUACCAGGCCCGGUAGUGACAGGGAUGCUACUGCAUGUGCUACUACUACUACCUACUGACUAAGGAACUUCAGGGAUGCUACUGCUACUACUACCUACAGGGAUGCUACUACUAACUACUGACUAAAGAGAGUACUACUAGCUACUGACUAAAGAGACUACUACUACUAGCUACUGACUAUGUAGCUGGGACAGUGAAGAUCAAAGAUUAGGUAUCCUAUCCUGUGCAAUCUAGAUAAAUGAUUGGUGUAGGAACCAUUCUACUCUCAAAGAAGAAGAUAAAAUGCCUAUCCCACCCACAAGACUCCGACGACUCGGCCUUCGCCCUCGAACAAGUCUUUCUCACUUUCGUCAAAUUCUUGCUCUUGCUCUGCCCUUGUUUUUUCAGAACAAAAAAAAGAAAGACAUUAAGAAAUGGAAGAAGAACCUUCGAAAAGGAGUGUCUUCCUUCGAAGCGAAGCUUGACCAUCCACUGACUAUUGAUGAAGUGAUGAAAUGUGGAAAUUUGAUGAAUAGCUCAGUAAGGUGACGUCGCUUCGCUUUUUUUUAUAUAAAGUAGUAAGCUGAUCUCCGGCUGAUCCUACCGCAGCCGUCACGCCCCCGUUUUAGCAUUUUUUGGGGGGAGUAGGGUAGCUCCUGUUCCAAUGGAGGGACGUGUCUGGUCAACCGUUCGUUGAAAUGCUCUGCGCCGCGGCGAGCCGGUGCGGGCUUACACCAAUCUUGCAGUCUCGAGAAAUCUACUUAAACUUAAGUUCCCUGCUGCAACUGGUCGUCAUGGGUUCAGUGGCGCCGCUAUAUGUUUAACACAAGCAAGUCGCCUACUCAUAUUCAAAAGGCGCUACUUCUAAAGUCAAGUUGAGCACCCGGACCGGAAGCUGCCCGCCCGGAUGACAAGAUCUGAUGUCAAAGAGGGGGCCCAUUUCUCGCAGUUCUAAACAAUCAAUGACCAAAGAAAGAGAUGAUAAAGGACCAACGACGAUCUAUGAGGAUAAGGAGGAGGAGUAGGAGGAGCUUUCAUUGAAGUAGAGGCAGAAUCGAAUGAUGACGAUACAGAGAAUGAGACAAAGCCUAAAGGGGAGAGCACUUAGACAUUUCACUUUGAAUACGGGGAAGUCCGCAGGGAGGAAUUCCUCCGGGCGUAUUACUGUUUUUCACCGAGGGGGUGGAUCGAAGCGAUUGCAGCGAAAAAUUGACCUGAAACGAAGCACUUCGUCUAUUGGCAUUGUAGAAAGGAUCGAAUAUGACCCUAAUCGUUCUUCUCGGAUCGCUCUAGUACGAUGGAUCGAGGGGGUGCUGCUACGCCGCCAGAGGAAAUGCAACACGAUAGAAGAGUUCGCUCCGCCGCGUAAGAUCCUCGAACCUACCACGGCCACCAUCUUUUGCCUUUUUUCGUUCUCUUCCCUGCCCGGGAAAGUGGAUCAAAGAAAGGUAGCUUGCUCCCAAGGCAAGUGCUUGCUUACGCUUUAUGUAGUGGUCGGCCUUCCUACCAGAAUGCCUCCUUGGUUGAAGAGCCAAGCCUGCGCAGGAAGCAAACAAACUUGCGCGAAGGACGUUUUCUUCUCUGCCCUGUCCUCUCCCUUGGCCAAGGGAGAGACUGCAUCCCUUUCCUUCGGUAGCUCUUUGGGUUUCCCAAGGAUAGCGGUAGCUGGGGCAAAGCCCGCUUUCUUCGCUCCGCGAAUGAGAGAGAAACUCAUCGGAAAGAAGACGUUUUCUCUUUGCGAGAUCCGAAAGUGGAGAACGCAUUGCGUUCUCUGGGCACAUAGGAUCAAACGUAAAGCAGCGCUUUCUUGGCAGAGUUUGAGGCAGCAAGAAACUUUAGGGCUUGUUGGAGCUGCUGAGCAUAACGAAUCGAAGCCGAAGGCGGAUCAAGGUAGCUUGCUCCCAAGGCAAGUGCUUGCUUACGCUUUAUGUAGUGGUCGGCCUUCCUACCAGAAUGCCUCUAGAAGCUUCUACAAAGCUUUGCUUCCGGUAGAAGCUAGUCGCUUCGGUAGCUUGCCUGCCAAGCCUAUAGGCGAAGGGCCGAAGGAUGGAGCGUGCAAAGUCGAUCGUGCACCUGUCGUGUGACCCGUUGGUCCUAAGCAAUGUCUUUCGCGAAGCGACCCACCUAGAAAGAGCUCUCCUUUUAGGGAGGCAAAAAAAUGGAACUUCGAUCUGAUGCGGGUAUCCAAUCCCGCCGCUGAGAUGUCCAGCGGAUUCCGGGGCCUUGACGAAUGGCCGGCCACCAUUGUUGUUAGAAGAGCAAAAGGCCCGGGGCAUAGCAGGAUGAACCAAUGUGAAUGAGUGUAAGCUUCGUUGCCCGAACACGAUUGGUGCUGACCACACUAGGUGCUACCGUGGUAGCAAGAGAGGCCAGGCAGUGACAAUUGAGAGGUUGUCACUGAGCAUUCCGUCUCACACGGGAAGAGAGGUCAAAUGGCAAGGCAAAAGGCCAUACGCCCGUGUGGCUCCUCGCGGAGUAUAGCUCACAUCCAAACAUCUGAUUGGGGAACGGGGCAACGCCCAUGAAGCUCCGGCGGAAAGGGAAGGCCUGCCAGGCCGUAUGCCCAUGGGUGCAGGAUUCUUCGAAAAAGCGCGGGCUGACUCGGAGACCUGGGACCUUGGCUUAGCAACGAAUGAAGGGAAGCUCGAAGAGCUUUCUCCGCCAGCGGCUUAUGUAGUGGUCGGCCAACUAAAGCUCGCUAAGCUUCGCUUCCCUCCCUUAUGAAACUUCAUGAAGUAGUCGGCAUUCUAUAAGCGACUUGUCGAGUUUACAAAGCUUUGCUUCUUGUAGUCGGCCCUCCAUGCCUCCCUUCAUUUGCUUGCCUCCUUUCAGCCCAGAAUGCCUACUGACGUUAAGCUAACCGCCAGAAGCGACACCCGAAGGGUGAGCUUCUGGCGCAGGAGGCCAAGCAUUCUGCCAGACGUCCCGGCCUGGGAGCCCCGUUCGCCUUUACUAUAGUCUUUAGUUUUUCUUCAUUUUAUUAAGUAGCUAAGUUUCAAAAGCAAAGGUGAACAGCCCCCUGUCCUUUCUUUAUAGUAGUCAAGGGCUUAUAAGAAAAGUCAGGAAGGAGGCAUGGAGGUGGGAAGGCCGACCACUACACGGAUAGAUUUCUAUACCAAGUCAUGAGCGAUAGCGAAGCCAAGCCGCCGCCUAUAGGCGAAGGGACGAAAGCCCGGCAAAGGUUAGACCUGAUGGGAAAAAGUACGAAAAAAAAAUAGUACGUUAAGGUUACGAAGUCACUUAGCCGAGCCGAGGCUAAGGUUAUGGAAUUACAGAGUAGGUUUUAGGUAAAGUGAAACUAAGGAACUGGCUUAGCUGUUCUACAAAGGAGAAAAGCUUUUGUUAAAGAGUCACUUAUCCGUCUACAAAGGGAAAGGCGUCGGUACGGAGUCACGUCAGCUGUGGAUAUAGACUAGGCGUCGGAACGGAGUCUUAAAGUAUUCACCGAGACUACACUAAGGAAGAAGUCAGCGAAAGUGAGCUCGUAACUAAGAAAGCCGGUAUCAGAAACGAAGCCCUCUAUAAUAAAAAAAAGCAAAGAAGUCAAGGAACGAAGCUGCUUCUCUAAUAACCCCGUUGAAUAGGAGGGCGAAGGCUUUUUCAAAAAGUUUGAUAGAGGUGGGCUUCGACCUUCUUAGGAAGAGCCGUACGAGGCAGCUCACGUACGGUUCGGGAGCCGAGCCACCGCACAGGGGCUUAGGUCAACACUUAUAUAUUAGCCAGUCAUCAAUUGGAAGCGGGUAAGAUGGUGAUGAAUUGCGAUUGGUCCAAACCUUCUAAAAGCGGCUUCUUGCGACCUGCCCAGAAUGCCCAUACAUACCUUCGGUUUCAAGACCUUGUUCGCACAGCGAAUAAAGGUCGGGUUGAAGGGGGCAGUCAGCUGGCUGCUUCUUGGCCACGCCCCCCUGCUUAUAGAUACGAGAUACUUGAUCUAAAUUCUAAAGUAGGAAAUUGCAUACCAUUAGCUGAUAUACGUAUGGGAACAUGGGUACAUGAUAUUGAAUGUCAUCCAGGUCAAGGCGCAAAGCUGGCUCGAGCCGCAGGAACUUAUGCUAAAAUAAUUAAGGAGCCAGCCCCACAAUGUCUUGUGCGGCUACCUUCGGGUGUUGAAAAACUCAUAGAUUCCCGAUGCCGAGCUACUAUUGGUAUAGUUUCCAAUCCCAACCAUGGUGCACGUAAGCUUAGAAAAGCAGGACAAAGCCGGUGGUUAGGCAGACGCCCCAUUGUUCGUGGUGUUGCAAUGAAUCCAGUGGAUCAUCCUCAUGGAGGAGGUGAGGGGCGCACGAAAGGAGGUAGACCUUCGGUGUCACCUUGGGGGAAGCCCACCAAAGCAGGAUUUCGGGCAGUAGUGGGGGUGGGGAAACGCAGAAUUUAGUUCAUGCCACGACGAUCUAUAUGGAAGGGAAGUUUUGUUGAUGCUUUCCUGUUUAGAAUGAAGAAGAACAGAGAAAGUCUUUUGAGCAGGAAAAUUUGGUCACGUAGAUCUUCUAUUUCGCCGGAAUUCGUUGAUUGCUCCGUACUCAUUUACAAUGGAAAAACUCCUGUUCGUUGUAAGAUCACUGAAGGAAAGGUUGGUCAUAAAUUUGGAGAGUUUGCUUCUACACGGAGACGAAGACCUUCGAGAACAAAUAAAGGAAAGGGAAGAAAGGGGAAAAAGGAAAGUCUAAGCGCCAUAUGGCACGAAAAGGAAAUCCGAUUUCGGUAAGACUUGAUCUGAAUCGUAGUUCAGAUCCAAGUCGGUUCAGUGAGGGCGACCGCGAAAGUCACCGAAUGGGUCCGGUCCAUCUUUUCCUGAUCUUUGUCCCAUAAAAAAAAAGGCGUGGGAGGACGUUGCAGAUGUCCGGGACGGACACGACUUCUUCUAACGCUAGAAGACCACAGGAAGACACCCGGGACAAGAGCAUGUCGUGAAAGACGCACACGGGGCGGGCGUGCUUCGACCGUGUCUCCGGGGCACAGUUGAAUGUAGAUAUCAUGAACGCGAGGUGCAGGAUACCAGGCCGAGAAACCCGGGCAAGCACUCCCCUAAUGUGCCGAUCGCUAGCGCAUCCAGGGCCCCGGCGCCCAGCUCCGCUGGAGAGGCCGUCACUGAUCUGAGAAGUGCGUCUUCGGUUCGGAUAGACUGAUUCUGCGAACGCCUAGCCCCAGGAAUCAAUAAAAAAACAAGUGCUCAGUUUCAUUUCAGAUCAGUGAAUAAACCGAAAGAAGAGACGUUUCUCGCUCGGCGCCGCACUAUGCUCCGCUUCAACAAAUGAUAGUUUUCGGUGGAACCGGUGAACCACGCGAGCUGGUUAGAUGCGUGGGACAGAGGGCUCGUAGUACCUGAUAGCGCAGCUAUGCAGUGGAAGGGAAGGAGCCUAAAUCGACCCCCUUCUUUAUUUUUUAUUCAAAGACACAAAAGCACAGUACAAAGAGAUUGGACUCUCGGAUGAGACUAAGCAGCUACCGUUCCGACGCGCCCCUGACCCUAUCUUUAUUAAGACCGAAAACCCUCUCUAAAGUGGAGCCUAGUUGAAGCUGUCAUUUAAAUCAUAGAAUAGAAAGAAAAGACACUUUUAGGGAUAUAGAUGGAGUCUCGCUCAGUAAAGAGAGUUGUAGAUUCGUAGAAGAGGAUCAGAGUACGCGCGCUACAAAACGCAGCCAGCCAGUUCGACGUUAGUGGAAAGAAGAUAGUACUUGAGUACUGACCCCUCCGGGGCCCCCGGUUGCUUUGGCGCGCCCCACCCCAACGUUGGAGUAUUGCCUUUUUAGCCUACGCUUGCUGCUUGCAGCAUGGAUUCUUUAGAUCUAAAGAAUCCAUGCUUCCCCCGCCCCGGAGCGAGACUCUAUCCAGAUCUCAAAGAAUAACGAGCUAGGCGGCCGGCGGGCAAAGAAAGGGGGCGGGCCGGCCGGUCGGGGCCUUGGCGAUACGUUCUUCUUUCGAAGCGUUUUGCCAAUAGAGCGAGGGCGUCCUUCUGGGGUGGGGCGUUUACUUUCAAAUGACAACCGCCUGUUCCUGCAGCGGGGGCGUUGCACGAAAGCAAACCGCCCCCCGCCCGAUUAAGUACCAGUUGCUUCGCUGGUGGGCCCACUUAGGUUAGGGGGGCAUUGUCCCUCAGUUCUUACCAACCUCAGGUGUGUAAUCGACAUCUAGCUUAUUAUCGGUAGAAGUUUCAUGCAAGCCUGACCUCAGCUGUCCAUUUCUUAUUCAUUCAGGGCGCCCCUAGUGGACUUGGCGGUGCUCCUUUCUCAAACCAGAACAACUCUGAACGUUAGGGAAGAUAAGGGAAGACCACCUGAGCGAACCGACCGAAGGGACUUUACUUAUCCGAACCGAACGUUAGCGGCUUAAGCUAAGCCUAUCACGAGCAGCGUCGCUGCUUGAUCGGCGGGGAGGAGCAUCUCAAAGUAUGGGGCAAAGGAUCAAGCGCUUUGACUUUGUCCCCCGGGAUCCACCACAGGUUGGGUUUGAGAGCCGUGUGAUGGGUGACUAUCCAGCACGGUUCGGAGAGCACUUGUAUGUAGUCUGCGCUGGUGAAUGGAAGCCCCCGCCGCAAAAAAGAAGCGGCUCUUCCCACGGCUCCGUCACCAUUGACUCUAUUUAUUAUUAUGGUAAAUCAGUGUAUCAAGAUGUCAAUCUUAGAUCUUAUUUCGGUUCGAUACGUCCACCUACGAUACUCACCUUUGGCUUUCGUCUCGGUAGGUGUAUUAUUCUACAUUUUCCCAAAAGGACAUUCAUUCAUUUCUUUCUUCCCCGUCGACCACUACGACGGAAACGACGCGACAAAUCAAGACCCGGAAAGGAGAAGGGCCGGUGGUGGGCAUUUGGGAAAGUCGGGCCGAUCGGGUGUCUUCAUUCAAGCGACGGUACAGAAGAAGAACGAAACGAAGUGAGAGGCCGGGGGGCAGGGAAAAGAGUCGAGUCGAUCAGGCUCGACGACCGGGAGAAGCAAAACGAAAUCAGGAUUUGGCCGAAAAAGAUGCAACGCUAUGGAUACCAUGACCGAUCACCAUCGAGAAAGAAGAAUUUUUCUAAAUCACUUCGGGUCAGCGGGGCCUUCAAGCAUCCGAAAUACGCCGGGGUUGUAAAUGACAUAGCGUUCCUGAUAGAAAAUGACGACUCCUCCAGAAAAACGAAGUUAUUCAAGUUCUUUUUACCAAAGAAGUCCCGCUCUGACGGCCCGACGAGUCAUCUACUAAAAAGGACCCUCCCCGCUGUGCGCCCCUCCUUGAAUUAUUCGGUCAUGCAAUACUUAUUGAAUACAAAGAAAAAAAUGCAUUUCGACCCCGUCGUAGUUCUCAAUCAUUUCGUGGCACCGGGUGUGGCUGAACCAUCUACGAUGGGGGGAGCGAAGGAAGGAAGCUUAGAUAAGAGAAUACGCUCUCGCAUCGCUUUUUUUGUAGAAAGCUCGACCAGCGAGAAAAAGUGUUUGGCCCAAGCCAAAAAGAGGUUGAUCCACUUCAUUCGCUUGGCGAAUGAUCUUCGCUUCGCGGGAACAACAAAAACCACCAUCUCGCUCUUUCCUUUCUUCGGUGCUACCUUUUUCUUUCCAAGGGAUGGGGUUGGGGUGUAUAAAAACCUAUUUUUUGAGUAUGCCCGGGAACAACUCCUAGGUCAAUUAAGGAUCAAAUGUUGGAACCUCAUGGGUAAGGAGAAGGUAAUGGAAUUGAUAGAGAAAUUCAUAGACCUAGGUGGGAUAGGAGAAUUGAUAAAGGGAAUAGAGAUGAUGAUAGAGAUCAUACUGAGAAAGAGGAGAAUUCCGUACGGGUACAACUCUUAUUUGAACGAAGUGCAAAAAAUGCGAUCUUUUUUGUCUAAUAGAACAAACACAAAUACCUUAAUUGAGUCGGUAAAGAUCAAAUCUGUUUAUCAAAGUGCUUCUCUGAUUGCUCAAGACAUCUCUUUUCAACCGAGGAACAAUCAAAUCUCAUUUCGUUCCAUUUUUUGUAAAAUAGUUAAGGAUAUUCCAUUAAUAAUGCCAAAAGGGGUGGAGGGGAUACGUAUUUGUUGUUCAGGUCGAUUAGGAGGUGCGGAAAUAGCUAGAACUGAAUGCGGAAAGUAUGGAAAAACAUCUCGUAAUGUAUUUCACCAGAAAAUCGAUUAUGCUCCUGCUACAGUAUCUACUCGUUACGGAAUUUCAGGUGUCAAAGUGCGGAUCUCAUAUAGUCAAAAUAAGAAGGGACGUGCUAUAUCCGAAACGUACGAAAUUUUUCAAAUAUAGUAAAGGCAGAUGUUGUAGGGGUCGCGAACCGGACGGUACACAACUUGGUUUUGGAAGAUAUGGCACCAAAAGUUGUAGAGCUGGUCGUCUUUCAUAUCGAGCCAUUGAAGCAGCGCGUCGGGCUACAAUCGGACAAUUCCAUCGUGCUAUGAGCGGACAAUUCCGAAGAAAUGGUAAGAUAUGGGUAAGAGUUCUCGCAGAUCUUCCUAUUACGGGGAAACCUACAGAAGUGAGAAUGGGAAGAGGAAAAGGAAAUCCUACGGGUUGGAUUGCUCGUGUGUCCACGGGACAAAUCCCAUUUGAAAUGGAUGGUGUGAGUUUGUCAAAUGCUCGACAAGCCGCUACAUUAGCGGCGCAUAAACCAUGUUCGUCAACCAAGUUUGUUCUGUGGUCGUAACGUAAUUGGUUAGUGGGGAAAAACCGGGCCGGGACUCAAAAGAAUUUGGCGAAGUCUUUGUUCCUGAACGACGGAAGUGGAAAGACAAACAGGGAGAGGGAUAUACUCCUUUUUUUUGUAAUCGCCGAAAUUGUACGACGAACCUUCUUGUUCCAGGCGUACGACCCUGAGACGUGACGGUGUCACUUUUCCGGCCCGGUAAAGUGACAGUUACAUAAUUAAGAAUAAGAAAGAGAAGAGCUAAGAUUCAGGAAAGGAUGACCUUAGGUUAGGGUAUUUGUUCCAUUUUUGAAACGGGAGUCUUUUUUUUUUCGAUUUCUGAUUCCCUUGAUCCAAACGUCGAAUGUGAACAUACCAAUACGACGUAUUCGCGAGCGCACCUAACGAUGACUUUCGUAAGUAGUGUGAACCAGGACUAGAAACUGGCCCCUGCAGUGUAAGCCGGGAGUACUGCAAAGGCCCUCUGCAGGGAUAGAGGUUGUUCCUCUCGGACCUGACCAAUCCGAAAGACAAUAGCAUCUGCGUGGCGACUCCACUGGGGAGAAGAGUUUCAGUCUGUGGCUUAUCUCAACCCCUUGUUGGUAGUUGCCCACUAGGAAUCUUUUUUCCCACACACUCAGUGGACUAAAUCAUCCACUGGCGACCUUGCUCCAUUUGAAGUCUAACAGUUCAUCACCCUGCAGGUCUUACAGUCAACUUCUACGAACCCAAGCAUCUAUAGACCUGACUGGCACUGACUGUAACGAUCCAGAAAGACCGCAACCUAAAACGGAGAUAGAACAGAACCAUCAGAUGAUGAAUACUCCUCCGAAACGCUGGCUAUCCGCCACCCCACUGGCAUUACAGCCCCCUCCAGGGCCCAUGCCGGAUCUCAUAAUCCUAGAGAACUUCCCGAAGUUCUUCGGUGCAGGAUCUUACUCUGCUGAAGACUACAAAACUUUCAAGAUCUCUGCACUGAUCAUUCUAUCGAGGAUGAGACGGUAGCAGUCAGACUGAAAGUCAAAACCUUUGACGGAUUAGCUCUGAGCUGAGGCAGUUGACCCCUUCCUCCAUUUUAGGUUGGGAUUAUUUUGAAACUGCCUCGAGGGUAAACAUUUAGGCCUAAACGAUCUCAUGAGCAUUAAAAAAAAGUAAGGAUAAUAUUUAUUAGAAUACAACGAACGGUAGAACUGCCUAAAUCAAUUUCGCUGAGAGUUCUUUGUAGAACCACGUUGGUUAGGGAUCUGUACGUCCGUUUCCUAGGCCAAUAAUAGCCUUCCAAGUACAGCAGAGGAAGCCCAUAAGUCUGAAAAAAAGUACUUAUCAGCAAUCUCAUAAGUACUUGGAAGGGGAGGAAUCUCAUUUUUUCGUAGGACAUAUUCCCCAAAAGCAAGCAUUCGCUUCCUUAGACAAGGAGCAAAGCCCUCGCCGCGAAGAGCGAGUGCUUGACUUUUUUGUUGUUUUUAGGGGCAAAGCUCGUUCGAGGAAGCUCCUCAGUAAUCGUCCGCGGAAAACUCCUAUUUCGUUUCCUCCAUCUAAGCGAGUGCCCUGCUUUGAUUCCAGAGAUGUUUCCGAUACAAACAAUUCACUAUUUCCUUCCGAUGCAGUGACUUAUUAAUUGAAGGAGGUGAACGGACAGCAAGGGGGAGGCGGGCAUUUUUAUGUAACCGUCAGUACGUCGACGUUCGCUCAAGCGAGAGGUUGUAUACCUGGUUGGACGAUCAGUGGUAGCUGCUAUAAGCAGCUCAUGUCUCGUACUACGAAUAAGAAAGUUGCAAUAAUAGAGAUCUCUUUCCUCACCGAGUUUGCCGGCCUGGGAUGCGGAUUCGAACCGCGUGGUUUAUCGGCUGAUCGAUCUACCAUUUGAUCCCGCGGGGAAAAAAAGAGCAGGCGCACCCCGCUUUUGCGAAAUUUCAAUUAGAAAAUCUCAAAACUAUGAACAGAGUCGCCGGUCAAACCGGAUUUAUAGCAUCAUUAAGGUAAAUCAAAAUGAAGAUUGCAGGGUCUUUAGACACUUUACCGGCGGGGGAGGCGUAAGGAGGUUAAGUACUCCGUUUUGAACGACCACAUUCGACGCGUCGACACUCGGGGUCUGACGAAACGAGCGUUCAAACAGACCAAAAUUGUCCUCCCCAGGGCCACGCAUAGAGAUCAGUGAUCGACAUAACCUGGCACUACCAGUCGAAUAAAAAAAAACUUCCAGCCAGCAACCACUCACCACUCGGAGGUAGGAGGAGGACUCAAGGUUCACAUAAGAAAGGCAUGGGACAACCUUCUCUCUUAAGCCUUAUCUCUCACCGGAUUCGCUUUGUAGUCUCGUUCCAGCAGCUCGGAGCUGCGGGGAGCCGGGAAGGCAUGCUUAAACUUGACAACUAGCGAGAGCGGGGAAGCAGCCGUGAAGUUCGUGUAAUUACCCCCUUUCAUCCAACUAUUUGAUACGCGAACUAAGUCAGUUCAGUUAGAACAGGUUGCCCGGUCAAAUAUCGUAAGGCUCCACCCUUUCUUGGAAUGGUAUAGGCCGCCCACAUCUUCAUUUUGAGAAUAUGGCAAAGCUAUGCGACCCCCAUUUCUUCAGCUAGUAUGGCGCAGCGGGUCGGACUACGCAAGUCUUUCCGCUGGGAGCUCACGAGCGAUCCCAUCCGGGUCAACCACUUACCUACUUACUUAUCGAAUGAAACCCGGAAAAGGGAACGACGGAGCUGCGGUUUCAGCUGACUUAGUCUUUUACAGAUAUCCUCAUUGAACCUAUAUGAAUUGCCAAGCUUUCGAAGCACUUCUUGUUCCACCAACAGAAUCUUCGGCUGAAGGGAUAUGGGAAGCCCUUUUGUCUACUGACUGAAUGCAGGGUGUCCCAACCAAUAGACAGGAGUCAACUUGUAUUUAGUUUCCAUAAGAGAGGCAGUGGAAACCCACUAGAGUUUUGAGUCGUUCAAACGUCGGAUAGAUAGCGCGAGGAAGUGAAAGAGGAUCCACCAAAGGGCUACCAAGAACCAAUAUGACAUAUGGGUCACCUUUGCGAGGUUAGAAGGAGGGAUAACUACUCUAAGUUGGACCUAUUAGUACGUGCUUUUGCUGCUUCGCUUUCGAACUGUCCCUCAGGCAAUCAAUAAAGAAUUCGCGGCCAGGAAGAGGGUGAUGGGCUCAGCUCAAGCUGCUGUCAGGAACAAAGUACUCGCAACAAACUGGCUUUGGUGAUUCAGUCGAAUUGGAUAGUCCAGCCCCUUCUUUUCUCCCUUUUCCGCUCUGUGGAACUAGUUAUGCCAAUGCUUUUUCCCAGGUUGUUGAUGGAACCUGGCUUUAAUCUUUUGAUAGCAGGAAGGAGAGGGAGUCCAAUCAGUCAAAUAGGAAGGAAAACGGAAAGUCGUCGAAAAGCAGGGGUGGGUGGCCAAUCAGCCAACGAUCUAGUAGCCCUACUGAUCAACUUCCUAAUCUCUUGCGUAUUUACGCCCCUACCGAAAAAUCUUCGAUUCCUCUAUCACUCGAUGGAAAAGGUGAGGUACUCAAAGAGAUGGCUUUCCAAGCAAGAUGAGUGAUGAUCCGAGUCGUCGUUCUUUCUCCUUGUUGAUCACAUGGCUAUUGUGCUAUUGUAGUCCCCUCUACCUUUGGAGAGAACCCAUCCUCCAUUGAUUCACUAGACUUGUAUCUAUCCUCAACAAGCUCUUUUGAGGUGAGAUCAGUCAGUCUAGAAAACAGAGUGGAAGGUCCGGGGGAAGGCGGUGGGUCAUCAAAAAGUAGUUGAAUCGAUCAGUCCGUUCAUAGCAGUCAGACACAAAUCCUGGCUUUCUCUACUGUUUGGGAGCACCGGAUAAUAAGGAAAUCACCAAUUAGAGUUUGUCAUGUAAAGUGAGUCAAUAGUCCUUCUUUAGAAUCAGUGGAAAUGCCGGGGGUUCCCCAAGUCAGCAAUAGCAAGUCUGCAAGACAUAGCCUCAGACUCCUGGUCUGAGGUCUCAUUUGUCGUCUUUUGCAAAGACGGGAGUCAACCUCUACGGUUCGGUUCGUAAGGAUAAAGAAGAAAAAGGCCCCCAAUGAAAGUCAGCAAUAGAGAGGAAGCGAAAAGCGCUGAUUCUGUUCUAUACAAAAGCAUGACAAAUCGCCUAAGACAAACUGGUGCUCGACGUGUAGACCGAUGACUUUCUGAUUGUGAUGUACCUGAUCCUAACGACAUCAAUGGUACUCUCGUCUAUUCUGCCACAGAUGCUCUUUUUUUUUUAGUGCUUUUUUUCUUUCUGACACUAUCACAUCUAAUGCUUGCUGAAAAGCAACCUCUGCGAUGAUGCUCUUGCAAACCUUCCUAUGACUGAACGAGAGCCUUUUUCAACUUUCCCACUAACAGAGAAUGAAGGGAGGCAAAUCGAAGCCCUGUCUCUUGCCCGGCGUAGCUGUAGGUUGACGUUAUGGUCCAACCGGAUGCUAGGAGGUGCAUAGUUGUUGGCCCAGUCAGUCCGACCUGUGUACAGUCUCGCCUUCAGUCAAUAUGAACGAUAGAAUAUUUUUGAUAUUGACUGCAUGACGAACCAACCUUUUUGGCAUGGAGCGGCUCAAUUCCUCUCUAUUAGCGCAAAGGUUAAUGAGUGCCCUAUCCCUUUUCUUUUUCAUGUACUUACUCUAUAUGGCCUUGGUCUCGUUUGUCUCACUCUUUCACACUAGUCGAGGCAAGCAAUUCUGACUCCGAAAAAAGAAGACUGUGACGACGCUUUUUUUUUUAGAGGCGUGUAGAAUGACGACGAUCUUCUAGCCACGGCGCUAUGACUCGAUUACUGAUGGCAUAGUUAGUAGCCUUUUAUGGUCCACGAUUCUCCGUACAAUCUUAUGUAUUAUUAAUACAUUGAUAAGUUGACGUGGUCAUUUCUAGUGCUGGAUUCUUGGUAGGCCUUCUCUUCCUGGGGAAUGGGGAAAGGAAGAAUGUUCUAUUCGUUCCUUCAGCAAUAAGGAGAGGGGCAGGAGGGUUCUUUCCUUUUUUAUUUAAGCCUUAGCCGAGAGGAGAAGAGACCUUCUUUUUGAGCUUGGAUCUCGCUUUGAUCUUUGCUGACCGAUAUCCUUAGUCUUGAUGCUAACAUCUUAAGCCUGUGUACACGGCUUCUUAUUCACUCUUUCUUUGGUAAAAUUGUUUACCGAUCUUCUUCGGAAUAUGGCUCUCGGUCUACGACAUCAUGAUCACCUACCCUCGAUAUACUUAUAUAAGUAUAUAUAAGUAUCCAUUAGGUUCACUCCCUUGAAGAGACGAUUGGAGCAUUCCUGUUUUCAACUGACCAAAAGGAGCCCCAUAGAGAGUAAGCUUUAGAAUUGUUUACUUACUUGCAAAAACUUGGUCCUAAUCCGGGAAGAUGAUCACGAAGAUCUUUGACGUGUAGACCAAAGGCUAAUCCUUUUUUUUCUUUGAUUCUUUUGACGGUACGGAUAGUGCUAUUCCUAUUCGGUUACACAGGGCUUGCUUGACUCUUUCUUUUCUUUCUAGCACUUAUAGUGAUUUGUCGUCGUCUGAAACUUUCAAGUCUUGAUGCUUUCCCCAGCCUUCUUUCAUUCCGGUCAAAGUUGGAUUAUCGGUUAAGGUCGAAGAAAGCCCUUUCGGUGCCCCCUUAAGAGAGAGAAAGGACUGACGGCCCACUUGUCGCAUAGGAAAGAAGAAACUUGUCAUCAAUGCCGUCGAAAUCGAUCGAGUAUUUCGGAAUCUACAGAAAAAACAAAGUGAACGGUCCGUGCGUCGAGUGUAGUACCCGUUACUAUCUUCCUCUAUCUAUACCGUAAUCGGGCUUAGGCGAAAUGAGGCUUGACUAUGGACCGAGAUCCGUUUCAUCUAUCCCCUGCUUUCUUCUCUCUUUCGGUCAGAGCAUGGUCUUACCAGUCGGCUAUGUAACGGGAGUGAGCCAUACGGGUGCUACCUAGCUGAAAGUCAUCAUGUGAGGUAUACUUUCACCGAUCAAUCUACAGAGAGUGCCUCGAUCCAUCAUUAUGUAAGGGAGCCAGCCAAACCAAAAAAAAGGAGUAAGCGCUCAAAGGAGCAAAAAAGAGUAAGCAUAGAGGGAAUGACUAGUCGAAUGCCAAAAGAAUCAAGCUAAGGCCAGGCAAUCAAAGUCAAGCGAGUCAGGUGCAUCAAUAAAAAAAAUCCGUUUUAGUUCCCACCCCAAAAAAGUAAGCUUACUGUUAAUUACUAUCCUUUGGAUAGUCGAGCCCAGCGAGGAAAGAUGCAGCGACUAAGCGAACAAGGCCAGAAUAGUAAGCAAAGAUGCGAAAAUCCCCGCUUUGGACCAGAAAUAGUGGUAACCCCAUCGGCGGUAAAAGUAGGACAGACCCAUUUUCGUGGGUCAACAAGACAAAAAUAGGCUCUCAUUGACUAGCAAAGGGUUCAGAAAGCACAGUGGUCUCAACAAGAGGAUAAGAGGCGGGUGUAGUUCAGUCUGGACUUGGUACGUGAUGCAAACUACAAAUGUGAUCAAGAAAGGUCUCCCUUGCUACCCUAACAAGUAGCUCAAGAUCUGGAGAAGUGAGAGCCAUAGGUUUUAUAAGUAGCUCUUCCGUCACAUGUAACCACCAAAGAGAGAAUCCAAUCAAUAAGCAAGUUAUGAGAACAAAUCGAAUAUCCCUAAGAUAUGCAUGAAGAAGAGCAUCGGCUAAGCCAAAUGCUUUGAUUCUGGAUGUCCUUCUCCCCGAAUCUGCCAAUCCUAUCUUUCGAUCUGGAGAUCGAACUAAAUAGGAAUCUUUCCCUACUUUUGGUAUCUUGAAGGGUAUUCUAUUAUGAUCUGCAGUAGUAGGUACCCAUGGUCUCAAACAAUAUGCAGCUGACCAGCCUCCGGUAGAAUGACAUAGAAUCUUUUUUCCGCUAGGCACUCCUUGCAUCUUCUGUUGAAGUUUCAUCUUAUGGGAAGGAUGAGAGAGCUGCUGCCAGAUUCGUUCCCGCUCCUGUGGAAUCUGUAGUGCUUCCUGCUUUAUCAUUAGCGGAUGCGGCAUUACUUUGACCCAAACGGCUUGUUGUCUAUUAGUAAAACCUUGAUUAAAAGAUCCAUUCUUAUUUCGAACUCUCGGACUAGUGGAUUUGAACUGGGAGAAAAGUGGUAACAUUUUCUUCAAGAGGAUGAUUUGGAGAAAUUCAAAGGAGAAGUUGUUUAUCGAGUGAAUAGGUGCCCUUCCACUCCCGAAUUCAUUCUUCCUAUUGGAGUUCUUUGCGGAGAAGCUCUUCCUUUCCGGAGCAACUUUCCCGAGGACCAAUUGAGAAAGGCGGCUUCCUUGCUUCUUCGUAUACAAUGACGAAUCCGCUUUCUUAUUCUACGAUCUAUUCUGAUAGAGCAUAGUCUUCAGUUAAUCGGAGAACCGGAAUCCAUUCUUCAGAGUAAGAGCGGCACAACCACUGACAGUGCUAACUACCGUCCUUCCCUUGCCCAACUUCUAAUUGUUUCACGAACUGCAUCUAACUUUGAAAGAUGCUGCUAUAUAUUAGAUAUUACCCGCUAUGGCCUUUAAUGAUGCAAGCUGUAAUUAAAAUCUUUUUCACUCGAGCUACCUAGCUUUGAUUUGAACUCUUCCCACCUUAGAGCUGUCUCAAUCCCACCCUCCGAAGUUGAAUGGAAAGACCCGCAUACAGCACGAACAUAGGCCUCGUAAGCUUUAAGUGUUACCGAGAUCCGUCUAUCCCAAAUAGCCCUCUCUUUCUUGCUUACUGACUUUGGUAUUAAUUCGUCUAAGAUUGAUUUCAGGUGGUGUUGUGGAAUUGGGUUGCUUACAGAGUGAUAGCCAUGGGGUUCUAUCUUAGAUAGCCUGUUUCCUUUAUUAUACGAAAUUAAGGUUUCCCCUUCUUUGACAUCCAUGUAAUUAGGUAGGGUUUUUUUCAUUUUGUUAAUAUGGAUUAGCUUGUUUAUGAGUUCGAGUGGAGAAUGGAGGCCCUUAAAGACACCGCUAUAGAUUUGGGGGAGAUGUAGGGAAUAAGUAGCAGUUGUAAUAAAGUUGUCGUGGACUGUGUAGACAGGCGCAUGGAGAUUGAUAGCCUCGCUUGAAGUGUAGGACAAAAAUCCACUGAAAAUACAUACAUGUUAGUUAGUACCUCAAGGGCCGGACAGAAAAGGAAGUCGUAGACACUUUCUUUCAAUUAAUAUCUAUUGCCCACCGUCCACUUCUAUGCAAAAAAAAGGCCUUUACCUUCUUUAUAAGCCAACUAUCAAUUGUAUAAUUGGUCUUCGAUCUACCGCUUUCAAGCUCAAGUCGUUCUACGAUCAAAAGCCAGUCGUAAACUCUUUUUGCAAGCUCAGUCUUUUCCAAAUCAAGAUCUCUGUCUGUCUUCGUUCUCGCAAGCUCAGUCACCAGACAACAAACUUCGUUCUCGAAAGCGCUCAGUCUCAAGCUCAAGCUAAGCUGUGGUCUAAUCUCUCUGUCCUUCCGUCCCCCCUAUUAGCUAGUUGUCCCGUCCGUCGUCCAAUCCCUCCCUUCGUUCCUAUAGUCCAUUAGAGUAAUGGGUCUAAAAUCCCGAAGUCCCUGAGAGCCUUAUUUGAUUUACCGGAAUGCGGUUUAGAAUCCGUCCCGUCCGUUCUGUCCUCUACUAGUCUCCUCAAAUAGCAAACGUCCGCUGAGAUCGAGAUGUCCCUUAAUUUAGUCGGUACGGUAAUAACGAGAGUAUAUCCCGGAGUUCCGUACCCUUAUAGUACACUAGGCUUGUGGUCUAGACUCCUUCCCUCACUUCGUUCAUGAUAGUCCAUUAGUAGUCCCUACCUCCCUUAGAUGCGUAUUAGUGAGGCUCGCUACAAUGCCUCUAUCUCCUAUUGUAGGCCGAUAGGUCCGCUAUAGCCUAUCCGCCCACAGAGGUACCCAAACUCGUCGCCCUCUCUAGGGCAACCUCUGCCUGCCUCCUAAAAUGAGCUGUACCGAGAGAGAGGAAUAGCCUCUUUCGAGUUCCCCGUGCUACGGCUGCUGCUACAGCAUCAUAUUUCAUGAUCAUAUUCUCUGAGCCGCACCUGGCAUCUCAGUUGUUGUUGUUAUCAACCGUGGUAAAUCAUUGAAUACAUUAACAACCAUUAGUGAAUUCCCAAAGCAAUCCUAAUCCCUUGCUGAUGUGAUGUGUUUUACAUCGCACCGACGCCAUUGUGUUUGUGUGAAGCUCAAGAGUCAACAAAUGCAGGAAUAGCUCCUCUGAUGACUCAAGCAGAGUUGCUUUCUGAUUCCCUGGCCUAGGUAAGGGUCUAUCGCUGUCUAUAUAGGAAUUCUACUUCCUGUUUGAGUCGUAAUAGCUCCUGUCCUGGGCUUUUUAGAUAGUUCACUCUGCUUCGGGCCGGCUUUCGAGUUGAAACUCCGCUCCUCGGCUUAAGAGCUUUAAUAGCUCCUCUUCGGAGGUUUCUGGCUUUUUUCUAGGUUUUGAGGUGAGGAACCCUCGCGUUAGGCUUUCGAGUUUCCCUGUUCGAGAGAGCUCCUUGGCCUGGGCUCUCGAAGCUUAUAAGCUUGUGGUAUAGUUCGUACUCACAUUAAGCUGUGGUCUCCGUCUCAGUCUCGUGCCUUCAUUCCGUCGGUAUAGGUAUACAGUAAAAUACCUGCCUCGAAGUCCCGUCAGUUGAGUGCCGUCAGUCAGUGUUCUCAAAUCCCAGAUCCCCAUAGUCUCCAGCGAGUGGAGGACGAAAGAAAGACGUUUCCGCUUUUCUGCCAAAAGAGCUCGUGUAGUUCUCAGAAUACACCUACUUGCAGGCCUUUUUGCUAAGUAGUUCUUUUUUUUACCAACAGCGCUCGCUGACUGAGUCCCAGGGGCCAGCCCGUCCCUAAAACUGCUGCUCGCUUCUUUAGAUUAGUACUCCCAUAGCUAGGGGCAAACAACCUUCCACCCCAUACUGAUGCGAUUUCCCACUGCGCAUCUCUCGACCAGCUCGUUCUAGCGCAGCGAACACUGACUUUGCCUUGAGGAGAAAUCCUGUUCCCGGAGUUGUUCAAGCUACUGGAGUGGUAUUUCACUUCAACGUCACCCGAGAGCGUCGAAAGCCAUGGAAGGCCUUAAUCCUGCCUGAUUGGUAGUACUCAUAAGGUUUGGUUCCAGGCAAAGAUUAAGUAGUUCAAUCCCCUAUCUCAUACCGAAAAACGUGUAAGAUGAUGGGGCGAAAAACAUAAUAUUGACGGGGGCCCGCCUCGCCACUCCCCCGUCCCAUGGCCGAAAGCCUUUUGAAGUUUUUUUAAUGCUUCGACCACGGCCUUCUCUUCUCGAUUGAAAAAGAACAACCGAGGUCUUGGUGUAUUGGAUCCGCUCUUCUUUCCGCAUGAACACAUGAAUUAGAUUCGAUUCCUCUUCCUUAUUCUUUACAAAUAGAACCCCCCACCCGAACCUUUCUUAAGACUACCAAGCCCUCUCGAAUUAGUUCUACGAUAGAAGCUUUCAACGUACACCCGGGGACAAAUCUUUCACUCACUGAGAAGUGAAAACCUGUGACUAUAUCGUCCUGAAGACGGAUGCGACGGGAAGAAGUGGCAUUUAGAAGUGUUGCUGACUUUACAUUUAGGUUUCGGCAUAACAAAGCUUGCACUGUCUUUUCGCACUUAGGCGCACAGCGUGCCGUUGGUAAUGAUUCUACUACGGUGCCGCAAAUUCGCAAGCUGAUCCUAAGUAAUCGUUGUUGUUCAUUGGAUUCCGGAGGAAUGACUUCGUUAGGAUUGGAGAAUUGCUGCGAUUCUUCCUGAAUAGACUCGAUUCUCCCGUCGAGAGUGACUUUGAAAGUCUUACCUAAACUCUUCCGACUGAAUAUGAGAAAGCCUAUAAAACAACGAGCUACUAUCAUUUCUUCAUUAUAGAUUGAGAUCUUCUUCGAACUUGAUGCACAAAUAGAUGGAAUAGCAGCAAAUAGCAUAUUUCUAUCCUGCAUAUCCGUUGAACUCAAUCUCAUUGGGAAACGUUAUCCGUAUCUAUCUUUCCGCAACGGAACGGGAAGUUGUGUAGGACACCCGGCGGCCAAGUCCAAAAAGAAAAGAAAAGAAAGAAGAGAACGAAAGGAGAACUUCACUUUGUAUUUGGUAACUCUCCUGUAGUCUUCUUUAACCUUGAAUGCAAUUUAUGGAUUCGACUGCAAUAGUCCCUCGGACUCGAAAAGUGUUAACGAAAAUGGCUGAUCCAAUAGCAGAUUCCGCAGCUGCCACUGUUAGAACUAAUAAAGCAAAUAAUUGACCCAUCAUAUCAUCCAAAGAAACGGAAAAUACCAAAAAGUUCGAAUUGACAGCUAAUAACAUUGAUUCAAUUGGCAUUGACAUAAUAGGAAUAUUUCGUCUAUUAAGGAGGAUUCCCCGAAUACCUAAAAUAGAGAUGAUCAUAGAAAAUGUGAAAUAUUUGAUAGGAUCCGUUUCGGAAACGUAGAAUGUCAGAGAAAUUCAAAUUAUGUGAGGCUUAGAAAGCGUCAUAGAGUCCAGGGAGAGCUUUUCUUCUUAUUCUUUGUCAGGCUCGUCUUACCUUUUUCUCCUUCUCAAACAACGCGUUUGAUUUCCUUCCUUAUGACUUUGUAUAAGGAAUUCAAUCUUUCUUCCUGAUCAAGAGAGUCCAAGAACUCCAAGGCAUCUUGGAGUCUUUCCUCCGGGGUGAUGGCCGGGGUCCAUCACAUCCUCCAUCACCCGAUUGGUGACGGCCAGAAUUUGGUCCGGCGAAGGACCUGCGAAAAUAGAACCUCAAGACGCCCCACAAUAUUCUGAAUCACCGCGACCAGAACGUCAUUCACUGGAGGCUGAAUCACUUCGUGGUGAGGGACAUUUAGGGGGGCAAGAGGGUUCAUCGGGGUCAGAGUAUGACCCAUUUUCAGAUAAAGAAUCGGACUUAACAAGACAAGAGCUCCUAAUAUUAUUAUGGAAAGUUUCUUUUUCUUCUUCAUCUUACCAAAACCUGAUUUGGAUAGAGUAACGGGAGAAAUCCGCUUUACUAAACUCAAAAAGAUUCGAAUUUCUGGAUCCUCCUUUUGUUGUCAUGGCCGUUUUGACUUAGAAUGAGCACUGUGAACUAUCCGCUUCAAAAGGAUAGUUGGAUUGAACUCCAUUUUUGCUUGAAUUACUAUACUAUAAGGAAAAGGGCAGAAAAGAGGAACAGCUGGUAGGCUAUGGUAAAGAAGCACUAACGGGGCGCUAACGGUAAGAAAGAGCACCAUGGGACCGGGGAGCAGGUCGCGCUCCCGCCUAAGGUAGAGGAAGAGGUGGAGCUCACCCGCUCAUGCUCUUCAUGCCUUGGACCGCGAGCUGAGACCGUCCGUGCAUCGUUGAUCUUCGUGGGCGAUGGAAUCGUGACCGGUAAGGCAGGCCCACCCUGUACGGUCCCGUUUGCUUUAAAUGCAUUCAUCCCAGCCGGCUCGCUACAGCUAGGUGACUUUUUUGAUGAGCGCGAGCCGCCACUCCUCCAGAAGGACACCGAGGUCUUCCAUCUCUUGAGUGCUUUGGGGGAACUCCCAAUCGAGAUCCAGUCCAUCGAAUCCUUAUUUCCGUCCAAUCUCAAUUGUGGAGUCGAUGAAGCUUUGGUAGCCAUGCGAGCGAAGAUGGCGUGGUCUCCGGCAAUAGAGAGUAGGUUCUUAACCGGUGGAUUCUUGUGAUGAAGGGUGGUGGUGAAGCUGGAUAGCAAGGGACUGUCGGAUUCUUACACUGUAAGCUCAUAUGAGACGGGGUCAGGUGUGAGGAAUGCGUAAAAAAGUGGUUGAAGUAGGAUGUGUCUAUGGUGUACACGGGGUAGCUCGAACUCAGCCAUGAUGUCCAGUAAGCGGCCUUCACUGUGGUAGGUGCCGGAGACCCAUGAUCGGGGAGUGUCGAGAGGGGAUAAAGCAGGUAAACAAGAGGGUAAAGCUUUCUCAUUAGGGGACCUAUACUAAUUUACUGGAGUCCAGUCCCUCGGAGGAGUCAUUCUACAGAGGCUCUGGGAUUGAAUUCUAUAGAUGGGGUUCCCGCAGAUAUGAUUCGUAUUUCAUGCAACUAUUUGAAAGAUAAAUAAAGGGGAGUCCAGUUCCGAAGGCUCUCAAGUCGACGCCUUUACCUUAUUUAGGGAGGCGGGGGCUCCACUUGACAGGCCCAAACAAACUUUCACAUUCCAUUCCGAACCUCCAUACUUUCUAUACAAAAAUAGGUCGCUAUCGUAUUCUCUCUCUGACCUGUGCAAUGCUUCCUCACAAUUUAGUCUUCCCUAAGAAUAGCAUGUACCGUUUCAACAAUUCUUUGGUUUGCCAUGCAUUCUCACUAAAGCAAUAGGUCGCCAGGUAGGUCACGAUUUGACUUUUCAUUUCUUUGUAUAAAGCAAAGUUCUUCCUCUUCCGAUCUUGUUCGGGUUUGUAAGUCUUUCUAAAUUCCCGAAGUUGUUGUUACAGCAGAGCUAUGGGAGUCGAACCCAAUCAAUUUAUUGAAGAUCGGGAAGGUCAAAAAAAAUGUACAAAAGCCUUUGGUCGUCUUGAUCAUCGCUUCUUGACUUCAACUUCUCCUUCCUUCUGUAGACUGAACGAGGACAGCGGUAAGGGAAAGUGAAGUCCAGUAUGUAGACACAAUCCUACUUACUGUUAAAGCAUACGAUUUGUUUGCCUUGCUUGGAGACUCGGCCUCAUAUCCUACUGAGCUGCGAGUGAGGCAGCCGAACGAGGAAGGCGAAGACUAUUCUGUAAUGCCUUGCCUUGAGCAGCUAAGGGAAGAUUCCUACUACACUGCCUAUGGCUUACGGUAGUUUCUAUUCCCUUGUUGCCUUCGCCCUCGGAAAUGGCUCCUUUCCUACCUCUUUGACUUUCAGGUACUUUUUCUUAUUCUAUCUUCAGUACUGCCUUCCGGUUCCUGGGUAUAGUAGGAGCCAUGUCUCCCGAGAAAGGCCGUCCCUCCUGUACUCAGUACAUAUGGCUUGCUGCUUCUAGUCAUGAAUUCCUUAUACAGUAGUUUGAGGUCUAACAAGAAGUGUACCGGAGGUCAAGUAAUUGUAUGGCCGUUUAAAUGAGCUAGAUCGAUACUUACUACUACUAUGUCCUCGCGGGCGAGAGAGCAGCUUCUCUUACCUUGCCUCCCCCUGCUUCCUUCAUCCAACCCUCUGUCCUCACUCUCCAAUCUUCCCUUUCCAAGGAAGCAAACGAAGCAAAAGCAGUCAGUAAAGAGCAAGCAAUGAGACAAUCAGACCCCUCUGAUUGGCUUGAUUCCCUCUUCCAAUCACGAGAAGCGGUUGAUCGCCACUGAAAAGCAUUCGGUUCGCUAGAUGGGGAAUCUUUCUGGCUGAUGAUGGUAGAACCCACUCGGAAAACUCAGACAUGGGAGGACGUCCAAAUGACUGACCAGCGCUAGAUGGAUGUUCCCUAGGGUCACGCGCAGAGGAUGCAAAAUCAAAACCUUUUUUUUUGUUUGGAGGGCGUAGUCAUGACUUGUCAAGAGAACGAUGAGAAAGGCAGAGACUCUCCUUUUGGGCGAGGUCUUCCAAACCUUUGACUCAUUCAGUCAAUCCCUUCUUUCUCUGGCUGAAUUGCCCUACUCAAGGUCUCAAACUGGGGGCUUUUCACGGCUCCAAAGUGGAGAAAGCUUGUGUUUUUGUCUGACCGGUCAAGCUCCAUCGAGAUUCUCAUUGACUUUUGAGCUCCCUUUUUCGAAGGGAUCACCUCUCAGAAGAGAUUCCAUUACAUAAUGAGAGAGAGUUGUCAAACGGUAGGGCUCAAAAGAAUCCAUGUGAUUGGUCCACGUCCGUGUUCUCAGUCUCACUUGCUCUAUCUGCUCGUCUUGACUGAUUGGACCCUAAUUUCUUGUCUCUUGUGCCCAGCUUGGUUCACUCUCACUGAUGGGAAACCCCAGAUCUCCAUAGGAAAGCCUGAGCAAAAAGAGGGAAUCCCUGAGAGAAGAAGCACCCUUCCACGAGGGGGAAGUUCUCAAACCCUAAUCCAAUUGGAUUAGGAUAGGCCUUUUCUACUGAAUCUGCCAUAGCCUGUGUUGUCAGUACUCCCUCAGGAUCAAGAUCUGGAUUCGGACUUGAUUGGCAGCUUUCGUGAAGAAAGAGGAGUCUUCUCGUCUCAAAGUCGAAGGAAGAGAAAAGGCUUGAUCAGGGAUCUGAUCGGGUGGGGGCUACUUGAUGAUAGAGGAUCAAGCUGCCUAGAGCGCUUCCUCACCUUGAACCGAAAGGCACUCCCGUCCACUGAAGCGAGAGAGCGUGAAAUGCAUAAUGGGCACUAUGCCUCAAAACAGAGAACUUCGCUUCGACACCCUCUCCCUAACAGGAACAGGAGCCUUCCUCAACAAGCGAACCCAUAUCCAGUUUAUGGUCUAUUUUAAUCCGUCAAAGCAUUGAUGAAUCUUGUGCUCCGCAAACGUCGACCCUCUAAUGGCACUCCUUUGCUUAGGUCCUGUUUCGGGGCUCUUCCUCGCAAUGGACCUUUUUGUCAGCUUUCUAUCUCUCUGUUGAACAUUUCUAUGCCAAUACGCAGUACAUUGACUUACUUUACAAACUUCCUACUGCUGUGUGAACAGAACCCUCUUGGUGAAGCGGAGUACUCAUCCGAAGAGGAAGCUAGGUCAGAGAGAGGGAAGCCCCAUUGUUUCCAACCACCUGGAAGGAAUAGGCAAAAGCAGGCAAAGGGAAGGCAGAGAAUGGCUUGAGUUCCCAACAGUCAUCCUUCUACCUACACCUGAUUUGACUGAGCUUGUCAUCUUGUAGGUCACCAAAAACAAGAGAAGGAAAAGACCUGUGGACAAUCAUACAAUGAGCCUGAUGAUCACUGUGAACUGUGGACUAUAAAGCUUGGAAGCGGUCAGACAGAAAAGCUGGCGGUGCUGGUAGUCAGCUGUCAGGUUAAAAGCAUGUAUGUCAAGGUAUACGAAACCAAAAGAAAGCUGCAUGCAUGGUGACAACAGUCAGAGAUCAGAGCACAAAUAAGGAGUUUGAAUGCAUUUCACAUAAUGGUUCCAUUAUGUUCUUCAAAAUACUGUACACCUCCAGCCUCCCUUUUUUGGGAUUUUCUUUUUGUUUGUCUUUUGUGUUUUUUGGCUAAGGGUGGUUUACUGGGGUCUUGUAGCGGCAUGUGGAUCGGAAAGGAGGGGCUCAUUCGACUCAUCAGUGAUCCCAGGGCCUACCUCAAAGAUGGGAUUGGUGGAUUGGAAAGCUUAGGCAGGAGUCGGACAUUCCAUACCAAUCUGUCUGAUCCGCUACUAGCAGGUGGUCCUCUCCAAUCCAAUUUCUUCAUCGAUAGGUGGGGUUAAUGAAUUCGUAGGUUACUGAUUCGGGUUGUCAAGAGGAAGAAAGCUGGUACGGGUCCCGACCGAGUAGCUGCACCUUGAUGAAAGGAUCAUUUGAGUUCCAAGAAAGAACUACUAACUACGAUUCUUGGUGGGAAGUAUCGAUCCAAAACAAUAGAGCAGUUGUUUUGUGCUGAUAUUGCGUAUUGCGAUUCUCAUGCCUAAUGUAUAAGCCGGAGCCCCUCCUGACAACUCUAUUUGAGUCCGUUCACUCCUCACUCUACUAACGCAGGGUAAGUGAUUAUUGAUAUCCGACUGCCGGUGGGGAGACCGUAGACUGAACUGAAACCGUAACUGCUAACAAAGGGAAGAAGGAAAGAAAGCUCCUAGCUAGAGAGUGAUGCUCCUAGCGUUACAUAGACUUAUGCUCUUAGCUUAGCGCGCUCUAGCCUGAUGCUCUUAGCCCACCUACCUUCUUUCUUGGCUUACCGAGCUCGAGUACACCCGCUGCCUACAUUCAUUCUCUUUGCCAGUUCAGUGCACUUUGAAAGAAGCGACAGAAAAGCAGCCCCUUGGUGUUGAGCACUACUGAAAGAAGCUAUUAAACAAGAGGUUAGGGCUAUGGUGUCACUUUCCCUUUCCCGAGUUUGUUAAUCGAAGACUGGUAACCAACCCUAAUCUGUUAAUCGCUUAGCCGAGACCGGAUCCGUGGACUGAGCUGCUUACCGUUGACUGCUUCUUUGAGGGCUCUUACCCCUAAGCCGAAGCGCUGGACUGCACUCUUUCUUGUAUCAACUGAGGAACUCUUCGUUACAAGUCCACUUGUCCUCUUAUCCCCUUUCAGUCUCUUUGUGAGAGCUAUUCUCCCGUUGCCGACUCGGUGAAUCGAAGAGGAGUAACUUAACUACUCUUUACAGCUUCUUGUGUUGAAAGAGGAACUCCUUGUGACAACUCUUCUUGUUCGCUCCUACGCGUAUGCCGGUAACAAUUCCAUCUUUGGAAAAAUGAAACAAGUUGCCAGAGGGCCAAAGGCCAUCACACAAUUUACCUACCCCACCCACCACCCGGAAGAGAUGAGCGAGGAGCGAUCGAGUAUGCUCUUCCGCGAGAUCUUUCUUUCCUUUCUCAGUUAGGCAGCAAACGAAAGAAAGGCAGUGCAGGUUGGGGAGAGAACGAACGAAAAGGGACAUCACAAGCAGAGAGGGAGGUUUGAUCGGGGAUAGACGGGAAUGGAAUGCUUUCUGUCAGUUACUAGUCCAAUACCAUUCUAUCAGGCAGCAAGGGAAGCAAGGUAAAGCAGCGGAGGUAGGGAGAAAGAGAUUGAGUGGUAGCGAUCCCUCAUUCCAUUCUUCUUUCAUUCUCGGGUAGCAAGGAGCUCAGCGAACGGAUAAACCCCAGAAGUAAGGGACUCCCUUACCUUCCCACCCGCAUUCCUUGCCUGUUCUAGCAUCCCUUAGCGUUAAUCCAGCAGCGAAGGCAGAGCCCGAUAGUCCAGUAGCCAUUGAUCUUGUCGAUCCACCCGCUAAGCUAAUAAAUGCAUAAUAAGAGAGUAGGAGGUCGGCUCCUGCCCCGGAAGGAGGUGCACACCCAUGACGGAACAUAUGCUAAGGCCUUUGGUGGGUAAAGAGAGAAGUCAAUGGAGAACUCAAAAAUCCAAUGACUUUUUGAUUUGUUCGUACCAUUCUGUCAUCGAUCACUGCUGGAUCGGUUGGUGAGUCACCCAAAAGCAUCGAGAAAGGUCCAGCAUAUCUUUUUAUAUGAUCAGCGGUCUCAUUGUUGCUAUGCCCUGCAUCGUGUUCGUGUGUGUUUAUUGAGCUUUCUUCACUUCAGCGCCAUGCGCUUUGCUUCGCUUUAUAGAAGAGAGAGACCGUUGGGGCUUAUUGAAAGGGGAGUGAAAAAGCAAGCGCAAGCGAUAGAUAGGAUAGUCCCUCGCGCGUUCGCGCGAACUACUAGAAAAUGGUGAGAUCAUGAGAUUCUUAGUGAAAGAAGGACCAACGACGAUCCUAUCCUAAAGGAGAAGGAGCUUUCAUUGAAGUAGGGCUUCUUUGAAGAUUGAGGAAAAAAUAGGACAAUUAUGCCAUUAGGAAGAAGUCUUCUACAGAGGGAAAGCCUGUUACGAGUAAGUGGAGAGGAAAGAUCUCCAGAGAUUCCUAUCUCAUUCCAUUCCAGUGGCUCGACCAGUAACCAAUGGCGAAAACUAAAAAAUCCAUGGUUUCCCGGUAGAACCCCAUUUCGACCAAGUUCCGGAACCGGAAAAAAGAAGCGGUUUUUCGCACAGCUUGCUCAUAGUGCAGGUCCCACUUUUAUAUCGUAUUUGGUCGAAGAAGCAUCGGACAGGUUGGAGUUCCUACCUUCUUGGGACUCCAUGGACCAAGAUCUGCUUUCAUUAUAUGGGCAAUACCUACUUUAGUAGAUCAUAUGGAUGUAGAAAAAGCUUCUUAUUUUGAGGAAUUGGAAACAUCUCUUUUCCAUUUCCAUUUACCCAGUUCAUAUCUUUGUUUCGUGUGUUCCCGGGAGGAAUUCGAUCUCUUCAAUCUCGGGAUACCACCUAAAUAACUGCGGCCAAAAAGUCAAAUAGGUCGGGAAGAAAGAGUCUGAGGUUGGGUCGGACGACAUACAUCUUGGUUGGUUCCACCACCAACUUUCUUUAUGUGAGUGAUUUUAACCCUUAGAUUCUCCAAAAACAUCUUUAGCCACUCUUUUAAUGCAAUUGGCCAUCUUAUACCACAUCACAGAGGUUUCUUCCUAUAAAUUCCAUUUCCCUUCCUCGUUAUAAAGAGAAAGUCAUUUGGCAUACCUGCAUGGAUUAGAUGUCCAGAUAAACCCCCCGACCUGGGAAGUCUUUCGACCUCACUCACUUGAUCAGCAAAUGGGAAGCUUGAAAAAGCGGCUUUUCGCUCCUCUCCUUACAGUCGAGUGGCUUUCGCUCCUUCUUCCGUAAAAUAAAGCAAAACGGCUGCUGCAACUACAGGUGAAAGUGGCACGGGUCUUGUAUGAUGGAGAAAAAAUGACCAGAAUCAAAAGAUAGACCAAAUUCAAUGGAGGAUGGGGAGUAUGGCUGAGAUUCCAAAUCUUAAGAGAUUGAAAGAGUGUAGGGGACAUAUUCUACAUCUUAAUAGCCCCGUGCUUUAUUAGCGCAGUGUUAGAGAAGGGAGGACCGAACAAUAUGACAGGGCAAGAGCUCCGCUUAGCUUAGUUAGGAAGGCAAUAUUUCGCGUGCUAAGGCGCGCGUAAGCAUCAAAGCCCAUAGCGCGAUAGGAAAGAAUCUUAGUCUGGGCGGCGGGGAAGAUAGUUCAUAUGAUUUUUCCAAAGAAUGAUUCUCCAAUCGUACAUAAUACAAUACAAAACCGAUUUUUCGACGCGGGAAGACGGUGGAGAAAUAAUAACAGCAGGCAUUGAGAGGACACAUGCUAAAUGGUCUACCUACUUCGUUACAAUGGUUCCUGAUGAGAACUACCUAGAUGCUGCAUCAAGGUUGGUUGUUAGGGAUGGGGUAGAAAUUAAGUUUACGUUUCAACUGGAUCAGUUCGCCCGCAGGGACGAAUGAAGGAACGCUUUUCUUCGGAGAGAGAAAUCCUGUUCCCUUCACCGCUCCGUGGGCUUCUGGGUAAACUGAUGGUGGGUAUCAAUAGAUCUCUUUUCCACCUAGGUUAAAGGGGUAUGCCGCUAUAUAUGCUACACCGAAGUAUGCUCCUAGGUAAGCUACUGGCUCUGUAUCUACCUCUGUCUGCUGGUGCUUAUUUUGAUAAGCUGCAGGAUCAACGACUGGAUCAGCUGGAACUACAAAAGGCUAUGGCUAUGGAACUGAAAUGGCAGGAGCUUCUUAAAAGAGAAGAAGCGAGUGAAUCGAUUCAUGACUCCAGGGAAUGCAUCUAUCUCCAUAGUGGACAUCCCCUCCACCUCUCAAGCACUGGUGCAUAAAAGAAGUCGGAUCUCUAAAGCAAUUGUUAGAAAUUAGUCCACCCACCGAUUUGCAGCUUUAGGGACCCACCCGAUGGAAUCAUACGAGCCAGGAAGGUUCACAUUGCCGGAAACGAGGCUUUUCUUUACCCUGCUUUUCCCAUGUCUCCCGAACCCAAUCGAGAUGAAAGCUUAUAUAUAACCCGGGAAGGGAGAUAGAUAAAAAGUAACAAAGAAUCGGCGGCCGUGGAACUGGCUUGCUUCUUCGACGAGAAUCCAAGUAAAGUGAUCUUUCUCUGUUUACGACUCCGGUCUUGGUGGUAGGUCGCUAAGAAGCUAUCUGGACACCUAAAUCUGUCAACCAAAAACUCCUAUGAUAUGGGUCAUUCCCGUGCAGCUUCUCUUUCCAUAACUCGAAUUACAUGGGAUUAUGGCUUUUCCGAACGAAUCCUCUUCUAGUACGGCAGUCCCGCUAACGUUCUUUCCUAUAAGGUUGGACGGGCGAUUCCACUCAUAGACAACGAGUAGUGGAGGUUAACCUUCCUUUUUCGAAUGGUUUCCCUUUCUCUUCCUUCGAGACCACUUCAAUGUCUAUAGUAAGGGUAGUUGACUAUAUUAGUUAGAUAUCCGAAUUAGGAGUAGGUGGGCAGUGGAGGGUUCUUCGGUCUUCCUUGCCUGACACUGACCCCAAUUACGCAUACUACUGUCAAAGGCAGCCAUACAACUUCGUCUUGGUCUUCUUUUUCCACGCGGAAGUAAAUAUCCAAUCAAUAUACGGAAAUGGUAUUCCCUGAUGGUAGGAAAUAGUAUUCAACGGAUCUUAAAACGAAUAUAGGAGGUGCCUCGAUCUGGAGCGGGUCUUUGAUUGCUAUUAUGCUAUUAUGCGGAUGACUGAAGCCCCUUAUGACCUUUACUUCCAAGCACGGCCCCUUCCCUAUAUCCAUAUCAGAACUCAGGGGAGGGAGAAGACGGAUGAUUGGAACAUCCUUCAGUGCCCGGUCCACCAUUAAGGAGGAGUGGAUCUGUGUCUAGAAUAGAAUCCCGAGUCUAGUUACGUGUAAGAAUUCGUAUACUACAGAAAAAAAAUGCAUUGCAUACCUUAACCCUGGGCAUUCCCGGAACGUCUGUCAUCGAUCGAACUCCAACAAUCCGUAAUCUAGCUCUGGACGAGGAGGAGCGGACAACAAGGAGAAAAGCGUAAAAAGCUCAAGCUCAUAAACCGGUAAGAGAGCGGAAUCAUGAAUUGGACAGCACAGCCUUGAAUAGUCUUCGAGGUUAAUAUCUCUUCCUCUAGGCAUCUUCCUUUACCUGACGAAGGUUCCAUGGAUUCUAUCUAGGACAAGUCGGUUAGCGCUCCCCUCCCCAAGCCUGGACCGAAAUUGGAAGUUGCAGGAGUAGCAGAUAGAAAGGCUUCAUCCUUAUUUACCUCUUUGUCAUUGGGAUACUUAGAUAGGGUUCAACAAAAGCACUUAGCUAUAUGGGAAUACCUUCUUUCCGGCGCUAUAUAAUAUAAUGUCGUUUCCCGGCCAGUCAUGAGAUUCUUAUUCUUAAUAUUUUUCAUUAUCGAAAAAAGUAAGCAGCCGGUUACUCCCCAGGUAUGCUCCCUAGUUAAGUAUUCACCUCGGUAGUCUAUAAGUCCCGGUAAGGGAUAAAACCUUGCGGUCCUAAGGCUUUCCCUAGAGUUUGAUUUUUAUAGGCCAAGACCCAAGAAGGAGAAUUCCCUUGGCGAGGAAAAGAGCUGUACACGAAAAAAAGGCCAUUUAUACCAUAAAGUAAAGUGUUAAGACCAGGCUUGAGAAGAAUGGCACAUAAAACUAUCCUUUAGAAAGCCAGUUGGGCCCCUCUCUCUUAUACCACAAGGAGUGCUUCGAAGCUCUACAACAGCAAUCAUCUCUUUUUGUUUGUAUGGUAUGGAUUUUGGGCUAACAAGAAAAGCAAGGGCCUUGGAAAGGAGAUAGGACCUCGUUUGGUCUGGUGGGUUCCCCUCCUUUUAUAAAGAUUCCCAUGUUUCCAGGUGACGAAAGGAAAUUAGGUAUGAACGCUAGGCACAGGCACGUAACUGCUCGCAUCGGAUUGCUUUCGUACUUGCAAUGAAAAACCCGUUAGCAAGGGGUAAGGGGGUCAAGGCGACAUAACUAAAACCUUGAUGGGUAUAGGGCACAACAGUAGCUUUCUAGGAGUUUUAGAGAGAACUCAGAAAGCGAAAGCACAAAGGCUCCGGCUGAGAUCGCCGGAAAGAGGGAUAAUAAACGCAAGAAUAGGUUAAUGAAAGAAAUGAAUCCCUUGUCCUGAAGGUCCUCCUAGUUAGAGGUAUCUCCAUCGGCGAACUCUCUACCUGGUCCUCUUCUCGUUAGUAAGGGUUUAGGGAAGGACGAGUCUACGAUAACCCAUUGGUCCCAUUGGACUCUUAGACAACGAGGCGCUUUUUGCCCUAAAUAGGGGGAAUCCCGUCCUUUGGCCCUCUGUCACAACCCAUGUCUAGCUCUUGGAUUCUUAUCUUUCUUAUUAUUCCAUCGUGUGAUUCUCACUGCUUUCUCCCUUGUUUUGAUUGGUGUCUAUGGAUCCAGCCUCUUUCCUCGACCUCUUGACCAAGGUGGGAUCGAGCGUCCAUGGGUUGGGGUCUUGUUGUAGGUCCCAAGGGCAGGACCCUUAAUAUUCACUUUCUUCAGGGUGGGUUUUCUACCUAUCCCCAUCGCUUUCUUUGAUUGUUGGGUUAGUAGGGAAUGAUAAUCCACUGGUAAAAAGAAAAGCAUGCCUCUCUCAUCGGAUUAGCUUGGCUACCCGGCUCUAGUAAGACUUCUAAGACUUCUUCCCAAUGAUUUUCUCUUUCUGUUGGGCGCUUACAUCAAUCAGUCGAUACUAAGCCAAGAGCUUUUCAAGGAGUGCAUUCUGGGAAUCAAGUUGCUUCAGUCAGACCAAUGACCGCCGCCUAUCAUUUUUAGGAGAACCCGGGUUCUAAAAUGGAGUCCCAGAGCUCUUAUUCCAAGAACUGGUGAUGGUGAUAUUCCCUUAACUGCAGAUUCAAUAGCACCGGUUAGAAACCCAAAAACAAGAGGAAAGAGAGCACCGUCUACUCAUACUGUCACACGGCAACGAGAGAAGUAAGAGCGGAUAGGCAUUCAGUUAGCUUUCAAAGAGACUCGUAGUUAGAAAGAAGAUGCUUCCUCAACCUGUAAUGAAAAAAGGUUCACCCUAAGGACCGACGGAACGGUAAGAUGAGGAGCCGAGUGAGGUGCCAGCCCUACUAAUUAGUACACGUCAAGGGAGAGGGAGGAGUUCAUUCAUCCUUUCACAAGGGGAUUCGCAAAGCAGAAGUCAUUAACCCGAAGAGUGAAGUUGAUAACAUCUACAACCGAUUCUUGGAUCCAUUGCCUUCUUUUGUUCGUGAAUCUCCUCGUCCUCCUAUGCCUUAGAGAGGGUCCCCAAUCCUAGCCUUCCCCUUAGACUUUCGAUCUUCCCUUUUUUGAAUGGGCCAAGGUGGGGGAAAGAAAGAAUCAACCACCCAACCUAGUCAAUCAACUGGGGGAGUAAACAAGCCACUGAAAGUCCUAGACCUAUUCCUUCUGGGCUAGAGAGAGGGUCCAUCUAUCGAAUCACUCUAAACAACAAAAGAAGGAAAGUAGAAUAAGGCCCCAUCGGUAUCUCUUCUAAAGGGGAUGGGCUGCCUUAGAGCGAUCCCAAACCAACCUCCCAAUAAACAAUAGAUUGCUUCCCUUGGGCCCUGCAUGCCCGCAAUGGGACAGAAACUUAACAAGGCCAUCCAUCUAGGUCUUUGGGAAAAAGAGGUCAAUGAGUCGAGACCUCAAGACGUGAUCCUCAAUAAGUUGAUCCCUCAGAAAGAGGGUUUAUUAACGGUCCAGUUUCUGCGGGCGCCCAGGUCCAGAGGAGUUAAUUCACUAUUAAAGAGUCCAGUCUCAUGGGGUUGUGAGUUCUUAGGAUGGGUUUCUUAGACCAAGGGUUCAUCGAUUCCAAGAUCCGGGUUUCCCCAUAGAGAGUAAUGAAAGCUUUGAACCAGCGAGUUACGAGGCGACAGCAAAAGACCUUCGGUUCCACCCCUCCCGGUACGCCGGUACGGGAGGCGAAUAGGAGAGCUAGCAAGGCAGACCCUGCUGUAUCAUCUAAUCUCUUUCAAUGUCUCCAAGUCCUCUUUCCGAUCCAAUUGGUCCGACCAAGAAGCCUAUUUAAUAGAUUGUCUAUUGCUUGCCCUGCAACUGGGUCAAGUGCUUUUCAUUUGUUUGCCUCCGACACUAAAGGGAUGCCCCCUGGUCCUGCCCUUCGACUAAGAAGCAGAGGCAUACUCCCCCGAAAGUGGACUCCACCAAGAAAGUCUGUACCACUCAAGGAGUACUUUGCAACGCCCGAAGGAGCAGCAACCGAACCUGGGGAAUGAAUGCACUCCAAGUCCUUGGACUCUUGAACAGAUUCAUUGCCUUGCUACGCACCUAUAUUAAGAUGUAGGGUAUGACUACGAAAAGAUGAAGAAGUCGAGCUAGAAGACAAAUUCCCGCUUUUUUUCCACGCCAGGGGAGAUGCCAUUGAAGAAAAAAGAGUCACUCCGUUUUUCCCGUCGUUCAAGGGGUCUGUGCGAGGGAGAGGCGAUGUGCGAUGGCGAGCUGUUGUUCUAAGAGGUGGAGUAGCUUUCUUUCCGAUCCGUUUCGAUGUCACACCAUGCUAGCUCUACUGCUUUCGGAUUUCGUACCUUUUUCCUCCCGGUGGAAUGAAGUACUUCUACACUCUCCUUCUGCUUUUUGAAUGCCCAUCCUUUUAGUCAUAAACCCUUCCUGGGGACUCCUCGCAUGCACUAUCCAAUUAGGCCCGCUCUCUCAGGAAAAUCGCUCUCUGAACGACUCCUGACUCGACUACUAAUUAAAUAAAUGUGUUGAUGUCAGGGGGUACAACCUCCCGAACCCCCCGGAUGGCACUGUCCGCUACGAAUCGUCCGUGCGUGGAAAUUAGCCCGCCUCAAAAAAUUAGAACAUAACAUUCUAACAUAACUAUAAGAGUACAGCAAAGCAGCAAGCUUAAGGCGACAAGUCUCGGGCUUUCCUCUUGCAAUUAGUAUAGGUCUUCUUUACCUAAUUUCUCCAAACCCGGCAAUCUCUGAGAUACAAAGCUAUAUGGAUUGAAGACCAGGUUAGUUCACUGAUUUCGGGCAUCAUCUUACGUCAUUCGUUAAAGCGCUUUCUAUAAGCCUUUAAUUUAAGAAUUUAAGGACGUUUUAAAGAAGAGAAAAAGUUCCAUUCCACAUUUCCUGAUUCUUGAUAGGAGGAGAAAGAGAGUAUUUCCCGGUAGCAAAGCAAGGCAAAAUUCUAUAUUCUUUUUAUAAGAAUGAAUUCCUCUGCGGUCGUGAAAGGAGAUAAUUUUUUUUUAUCAGAGAUAUGAUUUUAUGCACAGGAUUUGUAAUAGAAACCAAAUAAGCUCUUUUUGCGAUUCCCCGACAUCGGAGACUAGAUAAAUCCAAUCAUUAUUAGGUAAGGUAAGAAGUAAGUAUAGGUACUGACUUUUUUUUCUGAAGGAAUAGGAGAUGUGCCCCAUAAAGAAAGAGCGAGCGCUCACUACUAUUUAUUAACUAUUUCAAACUUUUUGAUCUUAUUUGUCUUCAACUUCUCUGACUAAAAACUCAACUGUUAAGCUAUCUAUCGGGGGCCUAUUUCAGCGUCACAACUUCCAACCAGCACCUUGGGAGCUUUUUUUGAGGGUUUCUUUCCCUCGAGUACCCACCCUUCUUGGUAGAGUUACGACUGCUGCUCCCCACCUUUUUCUUCUGCAUCACGAUAUCAUGGCGGACUUGCUACUGGUGAGAAAGGCCUGCUUUAGAGUUUUUGGGAUUGAAUUGUGGUUCCAGUUUCCUUACAUUCAUUUCUAGGCGAUGACAGAUUGGAUUACUGAUGGGUCUGCUGGAAAGGAUGAUAGCAUUUACUCGCUGGAAGGCAAUGCGCCAAAAAGAACAUAGGGCAAGGGUCCCAUCUACGAUUCCCGAGAGCCGGUACCGAACUAUCCGAACCCAGAAACCCUCGCUACAAGCCUUCGACCACUUACACCAAUCGUAGGAAUUAGAAAGAAUGCUUCACAAAGGCAUACGGAAGAGAGAAACAUAGGAAGAAAUUCCGCCCUUGGGUCUAUUCAAGAAAGCGCUACGGGAAGAGUGUGAAAAGAAAAGCCAAUAAGACCUGCAGCCAUAAGGAAAGGAAAGCACUCACUGUAAUUCAAAAUUGAUGUACAGACUACGCGGAGGCAACUAAGGGUCGUGUACCCAAGGUCAGAUUAAGAGAUCCGUCUAUCGAGUCAGAAAAGACCUUUACCCAACCAAUCGCUCGCUGUGCCUACGUCUCUCUCCCUCAGGACUCAAGGCCAGGACUAAACCGACCUAAUCUCCCAAUCCUUGGAAGUUUGAUAGGUUUCACGGGGUACACUCGUCUCUGCCUAUCGGAUGCCCCAAUCUCGGAGCAUCUUUCUGGUAGGGAUCGGGCAAUCGGAUCAAGAUUUUCCUAUCUUCCAUCUCUCCCUAGAUUAGUCGCUUAACCCAGCUUGACUCCUGUUUACAGGCUUUCCCGGCUACAGUACAGAUUGUGCCAAAGACAGCUCGCUCCUGCUCAAAAAUCACACAAUAAGCCAAGGCAGUUCUAAUCUAAUCUAGAGAGUGGAUCAACUACUUCCGUUCUGCGCUCGGGUAAGGCCAGGCAGAAACUCCUUUAUAAGGCGGCUUAGCUUUAGCUGCGGGUGCGUAUGAAAAAAGUAGGGAUGAAAGCCCAUUUCCGUACCAUUCAUUCGUAGAAGGGGCAUAGCUUCAUUCUAUAAGUUUGACUAUAAGCGGGCUACCUGACAUUCAAGGGGAAGACUCAAGGUAAAGGCUUAGUGCCAAAGAACCUACUCUUUCAAAACAAAUUCUCAUCUCAGGAAGACAGAUCGAACUCUUACAGAUAGAACAGAUAGAUUGGUAUUGGUGUAGGCUCUAAGCCAAGCCUAUCUCGUGUGCUAUAAAAUACACAACGUACUUUCCCAAGCCUUUCUCAAGCUAUUAUGUCUAGUCCCAGGUACAAAGAGGUGUAUAUAUAGCGUUCUCCUUCCUGCCUCGACCCUUUCGGCCAAGAGGAAAUCCGGAGCGACAAAAGCGAUUCCGGUCUCCCCACCAUUUUACAGGUAUAAGGCACGCCAUUCGGUCCUUUCUAAAGGAGUAGUAGUGGUGGCUAUCUCCCUAUGAAGUCUGGGAUCUCUUCCAACUGAAUGUAAAUAGUUGAUCAGAUUCGUGAACCCUGUUGAGUCCACUGUACUCACUGGAAGAUUCGAAAUGCCAACCCUAGCUCGACUCGAUCGAUGAGUGAGACUUCCAAGGUCUCGAUCUUGGGAAUCAUAGUGAGAGUGCUUUCGUGCUUGAGCUUGAGAGCUGGUAGUUCACUCUACCGUGUAAUUAGUAACUAGUUGAAAGGCCAACCAGUUAUCGAUGUGGUAAGAUGUCUUAUAUAGCGAAAUACCUUCCCCGAAUUCCUAUUUGUUUGAAAAUAGUACCUUAAGUUCGAGAGUCUGGGAAUGCAGCUCUCUUUCCGCUCUGACGGAACCUUUGAAAGAGGAGUUUUAGCUUUCCCAAGUAUCUUUCUCAACUCUCUCGUAAUACGCCCAGCUAUGAAGAAAAAGAAGACCUCUUUCUAAAGGAGAAGUGAACGAGUUACUUCCUGUUUUUGUUAUUAGCUAGGGGCUUGGGUUACUAGAGAUUUUGGGUACUAAACUCCCUUUUGAGAACCAAGCAUCUCUUGAAGCCAAUUACUGGGGCCAACUACAAGCAAAGCUGUCUAGCUCUUUCUGAUCGUGAUAGCAGAAAAGGUGCACUUUAUAGCCACUACUCUACUUUAGAAAGAAAGGAUCCACGGGAAGAUAUUCUUGUUCGGAUUGCUAGCUUAGCCGCCCUUUUGGAUACAACCAUUUUCAUUUUACAGCUUACAUCCAGGCCAAGUCGAACGAGACGAUCUAUCCACCUAUCCGUAUUGACACCAAUCCAACAACUUCCCGCAUCAGAUUACGAGCCCACCUCUCUGUCUCAGCUGUCCUUCCUGAAUGAACUGACCUACUCUACAUGAAAUUCUUCUUUCAACCUCGACGGAAGACAAGGGGCGACCAAGACAGACUUUGAAAGCGGACUUGUGAACUGGUCCCAUUUUCAUAAGAAUGUUUCCGUGUUCAAUACAAUAAAGGUUGGCUCACUCAAAAUGAUAGAGGCCACGGUCACGCUACCGGAUAUCGAUGAGGGAGAGGAAGCCAGCAUAAGUAAUAGUUUCACCAGUGGAUCUUCGAAGGAAGAGAGUGGGCGGUGGGUGAGUUUAGGUAGAAAGAGAUAAGAUUAAUCUACAAGUAAGAAGAGGGGCGGAGAGCUUCAGUUUAUCCUUGCUGUCUUCGUCUUGUCCAAGUAAGUCAUGCAUGAAUUACCGCUGAAAAAAGGUUCUUUGAGCAUUAAAUGUAAAUGCCGCUGAGGAAACGUCAAGCAAUAAGGGGUAGGAUUCCACUGACUUGUGAAAGGAUGCAUUAAAUAAGACCAUUUAUGGUAAGCCUAUGGUCGAUCCGCUUUAUAACCUAUUGCUUGGCGGUAGUCAACUUAUCGGGCUCUCCUUAUUCAUUCUAUAGGGCACUGCUAACCCCCAAGAAAGAUCUUAAUGCUGAUCACUUCUUUGACGGCAUCACCCUUCACUUGUAGUCCUCCUUUGAGUGUAGGUUCAAUUGGAUUGGAUGAAUCUGUCAAGUCAAGGUCAACGUACGAAGCAGCAAGUAUGGUGCAUCGCCUCUUUCUCGUUCUCGCUCGGAAGCCAAAACGAACACGCCUGCUACCCACUGUACUGGACCUUCGACCAGGCAUUCUACCCGUUGUCGAAUCGGAACCAACCACCACUCCUUUCUUGUCUGGCUCUCGAAGAGUUGAGCGGGCGCUGGCCAGCAACUUCCGUGCCUGAGAAUGGAAGAGGGCAUAGAUUCAUUCUUCGUACCUGGUCCAGCCUCACAACCCUUCGCGGGUUGGUCAGACGGAAUUGGACAAAGAAAAGAGAGUGCUCGACCGGAACAACGUCAAACCAUAGAACACAGCUCCUUUCGGUCGAACCCGCCGGAAAGAAAGACGACCUUACCUUUUUCGUAGAUAGUCUCAGUAAGAGCUACUGUAGUCUCCCCCGUUGACCUUCUUUUGUAGAUAGAAUCUUCAAUGAGUGGAAAGGACUCCCAGACUUGCUCCGCAGUACGAGCCUCAUACAGAGCCGCGCCCUUGUGAUAUGAUAAGAAGAAAAGGGGCCAGGCCGCCCUCUUUUCUUUUCCGCACCAACCCUGAUUGUCAAAUCGGGUGUAUAGCUCAGUUGGUAGAGCAUUGGGCUUUUAACCUAAUGGUCGCAGGUUCAAGUCCUGCUAUACCCAAAAAAAACCACUCUUGUAUUCGUAAGGAUGCAUAGUAGCGUUCAAAGAGCACUCUUUGGCCUUGAGACUCGCCCCUUUCUCAUCAACAUCUCGACUUCGCUCGUUGUGUGAGGUAAGUAUAAAGGAGAUCAGACUGGCUCGGUCAUCGAUAGGCCGGCCUUCUCCUUAUUCAUUGGAUAGGGCGCGGGGGAGAGUCAAGUCAAGCACUAGUUAGUUGGGGUGGGACGCACCAAAGCAGCGUUCGUUGUACUAGCGCCUUCUUUUGAAGCUAAACAGAGGCUCGAAAGACGGAGUACGUCCGAAGUCGUUGGCUGCCUUUUUGUAGUGCGCAAGUCAGAGUGAACUUCUUCUUCUGUUCUGCGAAUCUACAAGCCAUAGUUGUCGAGCAGCCAGCUAAAAGAGAGAAACGUGAUGACUCGAUGUCCCUGGCGAAAAUAGUGGCUACUACUUUUUUGCUUUUUCAAAAAAAAAGGGUUGGGCUAGACCAAAUGACUCGGCCAACAAGAGCUGUUGAAGACUUUUGCUUAUCAAAAUUUGAGAAAAAAAUGAGCAGUAGAUGACUUUCAAAGAGAACAAAGAAGCCAUAUCAUCGAAUCUCACCGCCAAGAGAGGAAGAAAGAAGAGGUGCUUUCAAGCCAGGGCGCGGAGCCCGCUACGCUCAGUCAAGUAACGAAGAAAAGAAAAAUGGAAUUUUUGUCAGAAGCGACUGAUGAGUGAGAGCGCUACGAAGAGCAAAGCCCCGUAGCCUAUCCGUGGUCAGGAAGGCAGGCGAACAGCGCACACUUAAAAAAUUGAUGAAAUACCCAAGAAUGACUAGAAUGAUCAAUUUUUUUCUAUUUCUUCUUUUGAAACCUAUUAUCAGGCUUUUGGUAUAUUAAAUUUAUUAUUAUAUUUAUUCAUUAUUAUAUUUAUUUAUAAUAUAAUGAAUUAUAAUAAUAAAUCAUUAUAUUUAGGGGAACUCAAAUCCUUGCACCCGGGCUUAUAGGUCCUAUUCUUGUGAACCCUACGGCUUAUAUAUCCGUCGGAUCGGUUCGUAUAUACAGUUAGCUAAGGCUCACGGCCACUUUCAUCUGUAAGGAAGACAAGACACUUUUAUACCUCGACGCGCCGCAGCCACUAUUUUGACUACUUUUACGCAAUUAUGAACGGAACGGAACUUUCUCGAUUCCAAUGCAACUUAUCCUUUUGGAGCUGACGUAACAAACUACGCGAGCCUCCCGAUGAAGCCAACAGAAAUCCUAUCCGAAUACUAAAAAUAAAAGGCAAUUUCAUUAUGGUGGUAUACCAGCCGCCAGUUCUGGAACUUCCAGUUCCAAUCGGAGCAUAUAGAUCCGUAAAUGGAUUUGUAUGUAUAGCCACUUCAGUCGUGCUUGUCCUUUCUCGAAUGGAAAAAAAGUAUCUUUUUUCUGGGAACAUGGUAAACCAGAAAUUCUUAUGUUCGUGAUUCUUCAUCCACCGAUGCAGAAAAUGCUCCAGUUUUCCAUUCUCAUAUGAGGGGGGAAAGUUUAUGGGCAAGAGGUCGGCACGAAGUGAUUCAUCAUGCUCAAACAUGAACCGAUCGCUCGUUGGGGACGAUUUAUAAAUCAUCAAAUUCCCACAAAUGGAAUGAGAAGUGGGUCCAUGUAAAUGAUCGAGACCUCGCAAACAACAACGUUCCUUCCCCAUAUGGAGUUCGGGACCCAAAGGCAAUCGUUGAGUGAACUCUAUCUUAUUCGUAUUAGUUGACCUAAGCCGCACCAUUAUUGCUGGGGUGGGGCUCGGCCUCCGAACCGUACGUGGGACGAGUUUCUGCCUCAUACAGCUCGGGCCGAAGACCGGGGGAAGUUGAGGAGAGAUGGGGAGACCCAGCUGCUGCUGGUCGGGACGGACAGGAAACGGGGCGGGGAUAAGCUUGUGAAGAAGCAAGCUUAUUCCCCCACCCCAAAAAACAAACCGACCCUAUAGCGCUUCGCGUUCUUUCUAUUCCAUCCCAGUCUAUUCCGGGAUAGGCGGCUAAUAUUAAUCUAAUAAGUGCAGUAGUCGUCGUCUGACCAAUCGGCUCGGACACCAGACCGCUCGUGCCCGCCCAUUCUGUCUCGCCCUAAAUGGAAUGGCUCUCUUAGUUACACUGCGCUCCGACCCGAGUCCCCAUGUCCGCUUUUAUCCGCCCGCAACCCGCUUUCUUUGCCAACACAACAUUAGGGCCGUUCCCCUCAUUCUAUGCUGACCCGGGCCGGGGCUGGCUUUUUGGGAAGCCCGUUCCCACCGCGCUCACGGCCCGGCUGGCCUGCCAGCGGUAGUGGGAAUUCUCCCGUUCCCUGGUAAAAAAAAAGUUGGUUGGAUGCGGGAUCUACUCCACGAGGAGCGGUACGGACGUAGAUGAUAUCAUCACGACCUCUCUUUGCGUACCGCUAGGGAUGCUUAACGCCACUUCGCCAACUGGCAUUACCUGCGCUUUCGUGUCUCUCAGUGUGGUCAGCACUGGGUGUUUCCGAGCAGCGAGGCUUACACCCAUUCGCAUUAGUUCAUCCAAAGUUCCUUAGCCUUAUGCACGAAUUUUUGAAUAAGCCAUCUUCCUAUCAAGGUUAAGGAGUCAACUGAGCAUCUCAGCGGCGGGAUUGAAUACCCGGAUCGAAUCAGAGUUCACGCCGCCCGCCCUGAACAAAUAGGAGGCGUGGGCCACAGGUCGCACAUAAGCCACCGGGUCGCACGACAGAAGAACACCCAACAUAAAGAUGCACACUCCUCCAUGUGAAAUAGGAAGAUUCAUCUUCACUUUUUUGUAGUAGUCGUGACCAACAGCCAUUAGCAGUCGGCUCGUUGGUAAGGCGAGAGCUUCAAGCCCGAUUUCUGGUGGCACACCCCCCAAACAAGCACCACUCGACGAGGGGGGGACGGGGAAAGCUACAGGCCCAAAACCUUCGACCCUUCUUUCUAUAUGGGGGUGCCCGGGGCACCUCAUCUUGUCAUUUCGUCCUUGCUCAUUCCCGUUAGGCCGAAGUGUUUGGCCUUUCCUUCUCCGCGCCCGCUCACGCUUCGCUGACCUAUCGCGUGGUAAAGAGAAGAGAGUACGAAAGAUUUGUAAACAGAGCAGACCGCAGAAAGAUUCUAAAUAUGACAAGUCCCCCAUGGAUUCGAUAAGAAGGAAAUGAAAAAAAGGAACGAAACGAAAUAAAGCAUUUCUAGCGGAUGAGCUUCUCCCAAUUAUGUCUGGUAAUAGAAUAGGGCGGCUUGCUCUGACCAACACUCCACUUUUUGCUCUGUCCAUGGAGCGUAUGAAUUUCCUGGAAUGUAGAUAGACCAAAAAAAGGAAUUCCGGGAUAGGAAUAGGAAUUAUAGUACCAUUGGAAGAAGGGGCACCAGUGGGAACAUCUCUACUGACGAACCAUUUCAAUAGUACGGGUGCUGCCGUGCCACGAGGCACGACCAUGGAAGUAAUGAAAAAGAAGAAGUUCUGUAGUUGGACCAUCUGCUCUAUCCGUUCGAUUUGAGCUUCUCCAGAGAAGAUGAGACGCUAAAAAUGAAAGUGUUCGCAACGCACACCGAAAAAGGGUACAAAUGUUGCCGACCAUUAAUGACUAGUUCGAACACCAGGAGCAGGGUUGAAACCAAGAAAUAUUUGAAACUUUCCCUAUGUUUCCUAACGUUUUCAAUAAAACCUUCUCGUAGAAGUAUUUUAACAAAGUUUUCGGUGAUAUUAGUAGAUGCUAUUCGAACCCUUCCUUUUUUUUUAUUUAAGAUCUUUUUUUCGAUUUUUUUUUAGUAUAUGCGUGAGACACAAUCUACUAAUUGAUCUAUAUUCAGAUACCCUACUAUAUCAUAGUCUCUACUACUAGUAUUCAAAAUUGAGUAUUUAUAAUACCUCAGGAGCUAAUGAGACUAUUUUAGUCAAAUUCAACUGUCUCAAUUCCCGAGCGAUCGCACCAAAAACUCGAGUUCCUUUUGGAUUUCCUUCUUGAUCAAUGACGACCGCAGCAUUGGUUUUAUAUCGUAUUAUCAUACCGUUGUCACGUUUGAGUUCUUUACAUGUACGUAUAAUUUCAGCUCUAAUUACUUCUGAUCUUUCUAGAGGCAUAUUGGGCACUGCUUCUUUGAUUACAGCAACAAUAACGUCACCAAUAUGAGCAUAUCGGUGAUUACCAGCUCCUAUGAUUCGAAUACACAUCAAUUCUCGAGCCCCGCUGUUAUCCGCUACAUUCAAAAGGGUCUGAGUGAGAUGGAUCUUGGAAGUCUGGUUUUUGAUUGGAUAGUGAUCUCGGGCACGAGUGGUUGAUCUUCGCGGGCCGUGAAUGGCCAUGGAAAGGAGAAUUUUUUGAAAUAUUGGAGAUCGAGAAGAUUGGACGAUGAAUUUGGAUCCAUUGUGGUUUGAAUAAUAGGCUGUGGUCUCGAUAUUGGGCUAUGGGCUGAUUGCUUCCUGUAUGAGCCUCUUGUGGUUGGGCUCUCGUGGGCGGAUUCCCUGAUGUGUACUCAUCUUCCAACAAAGAGGAGAGGACAGGGCUACUGCUGGUCCACGCAUGAGAGCUCCUCUGAUUGUGUCUUUCCGGAAAUGACUUCGACUCGCAAAGCUCACUGAUUGGUGAAACCAGAGGAGAUUCAGAGGCCCAGUUGAGAACAGCAAGCGUACAAUCAAUCGGUGUAUGGAAGUUCGGUGAAGCUAUAUGAAAACCUUUUUUUGGAGGAUUGAGGGGCACAAUCAGUUCCCUGGCUGAGACCCAUUCAUUGGCUAUUGGAAGGAAGAAGGAAGUCUACGAACCGGAAAUUCAAAGUUCGGGUCCAAUUUGUAAAUCCCUUUUUGAUUGCCACCGGUUCGAAAUUUCACCGCUCUCACUCUUGUGCUUCGAGCUCUUUCCAAAAACAAAACCGCCCAACAUCGAUCCGAUUGAACUUCUGACUCCUCGCUCUUCGCCCCUGCCCCUCCACCCAAACCUCCUGAUCCCCAGACCAACCGGCGACGGAACCCUCAACAGCAGGCGGAGUUCUAUAAUCGGAACCCCGUCUAAUGGAGCACCCUUUUUGGUAAUGGAGCUAUGGGCGACAUUGAGAGAAAACUCGACUACUUUGAACCUGAAACUAGGGCUGAUAAGAUCGUGGCCGUCUGCCCGGAAGAAGAGCUCGUGGAGAACGAAAAAAGUUGGAAGAACACCCUCGUCGGGUAUACUCUGGGGAGACGCCCUAAUUUCGAAUAUCUCAAUAAAGACCUCCCUAAGAUCUGGGAACCAAGAGGAGCUCUUGAGAUCAUUUCCAGAAUGAAUGGCUUUUUCCUGUUUCAAUUCCUGCUGGGGGAAAAUGGCUCCAAAGUGCUCGAAGGCGGACCUUGGCUUAUUGGUGGUCGGGUUCUCAUCCUGAUAAAAUGGGAAAGAGGAUUGGAUGUCCGCAAAGACCUCUUGCAGAGCGUCCCUAUUUGGGUACGGUUCCCUCAGCUCGGGCUCCACCUCUGGUCAUCCAAUAUGAUAGGAAGGAUUGCUAGUACUAUUGGUAAGCCACUCUAUAUGGACAAGCAGACUUCUACCAAAUCCCGUCUCGUCUUUGCCAGGGUCUGUAUUGAAGUUAAUAAAGCAAAGAAGCUCCCUGAGAAGGUUUGGAUCGACGUCGGAAAUGGAAGCCUUGAGGAACAAUGUGUCGAAUACGAAUGGAUUUCUCUUUCAUGUACUAAUUGCAAGGCCGCGGGUCAUAAAGCUGAACUCUGUCCGGUGAAAGUGACUCCUACUUUGGUGCCCAAGGAUUCUGCACAAUCUGGAAUAUCGACUUAAUGCCUCCGAUAACUGUAAAGCUACCUCCACAGGUUCUUAGGCUGUUAGCGCGCCCAAUCCUGAGCCUUAUAACCUUGCCCCAGAGCUUGGAGCGAUUCCUACUGGUAAUGUAUGCGAGAUUGGAGCCGAGCAACCCAUUGAGCAUUCCUCAUUACCUAUGUCGAAUUUUUUUGUGAAAAGUUUUGAGCGAUGAUCCGGGCUUAGAAUCGGCUGUCAGUUCUGGAGAUGUCAUUAUGGAACCAGGCCACCAAUCUGAGUAACCUUCCAGUGCCUUAAUCCCGGAUCCUGCUGGUUCCACCUCCACUGCUCCUGCGGUUCUGGACGAGAUUCUUGCUGUCCCAGUGGCCAUGAAAGAGCACAAUCCUUCAGUAUUCUACUGGAAAAGAUGAAGUCCAUAUCAAACUCCUAAAUCCUCAGAGAGAGAUCCCCCCAGUGUCCUGGCUGUGGAUAACCCUGAGUGGAUCCAGCAAGUUGGGAAGUCUAUUCAAUCUGCGAAAGGUGAGGGAAGUGAAUGCAGCUCUAAGAAAAAGCUAAGGCUCGGAUCCAAACAAGAGCAAUGAAAAGUGCCUCCAACAGAGGAGGGAAUUCCCCAAAAAAUCAAACCUAAAACUCCUAAUGAAUGUCCUCAUCUGGAACGUUAGAGGGAUGAACAAUAUUGAGAAGCAGAGGGAAAGACGGGAGCUUAUCAAGAAGAACAAACCCUCUAUUGUGGGACUGGUGGAAACAAAAGUCUGUGAAACCCGAAGUUCUAGAAUAGCUCAUAGAAUGAAGAAGGGGUGUGACCUUAUGGCCAACUAUACUAGCUCUCCUAGAGGGAUAAUCUUGCUCCUAUAGGAUCCUCGUUUUUGGGAUAUUACAAAAAUUUUCGAAUUCGACCAGGUGCUGACUUGCUGCUGUUCUGAGAAGGGGACCUUGAAAAGCUUGACUUUAUAUUCCAUUUUUGGAUCCAAUCUGUCUACAGAUAGGCGCCUGCUGUGGCAGCAAUUAAUUAAUCUCCGCCUUAGCAUACAAGGACCAUGGCUCGCAGCGGGUGAUUUUCAUACUGUCAGAACCGUCGGUGAAAAAAUGGGAGGUAGAGUUCUUUUUUAACAGGAGCCCAGCCCUUUAAAUAAAUUUCAUGACUGUCUGCAGAAUGCGAACCUGACUGAUCUUCGUUCCUCGGGGCACAGACUCUCUUGGAGCAAUCAAUCCGGUGGGGCCAGACGCAUCGUCGGCAGACUAGAUCGAGCCUUAGUUAAUCCUGAGUGGAUCCAAAAGCUGAAUGCUUCCAGUGCUGAAUAUCUUACGCCGGGCUGCAGUGAUCAUGCCCCAAUCCUCGUCUUAUUCCGGCUGUCAGCUCUGGACCAAAGCCAUUCAAGUACUUUCGCAUGUGGGAAUCCCACCCCCAAUUUCUUGAUGUAGUGAAGAAAGCUCCCGGUCACUGGAAAUCCCAUGUUUAUUCUUUUUUGAAUAAACUGAAUAACACCAAACUUGCGGUCCAAGCAUGGGAUAAGCAAUGUUUCGGAAAAGCUGGAGACAGAGUUUAGAUAUGCAGAAAUGAACUAAAUUCUAUUCGACGACUUGCUCCAAAUGGAUCCCCUCAAUGCUCAGCUUGUUGAUGAAGAAAAAGAGAGCUGAAAUAGAGAUUCUCUGAGGUCCUCGCCCAGGAGGAAGAUUUUGCCCGGAAAAAGUCUCGAGUCCAAUGGCUCCAUCUUGGUGACAGCAACAAACGGUUUUUCGACGCCUCCAUUCAUGCUAGGAGAGCCCAGAAUACUAUCCGCUGUCUUAGAGACGGGGGAUACCACACAAAAAAUUGAGGAUAUAAAGAACAUCACAGAAAAAUUCUUCUUUCGGUUCUUGGGGACUGACCCUGAGACCAAUUCCUCCUUCGAGCCUUUUUUCUUCAAGAAAAUACUGACUCCCGAGGCUAGCUCUUGGCUCACUAGAAAGGUCUCUUUUUAGGAGGUGGAGAGCGUUGUGAAAGAAGCUAAGUCCGAUAAAUUAGAUAAGGCCCCCGGGUCAGAUGGAUUCCCCGCUGCCUUCUUCCAGACGUGUUGGGAUGUCAUUAAGUUUGAUGUGUGGGCCGCCAUCCGAAACUUCUUUCGAUCAGGAAGACUGAUUAAGGAGGCUAAUUAUACUAUCAUUACUCUAAUCCCCAAGACUGAGACUGCUGAUAGGAUUGGAACAUUUUAGACCCAUUUCUCUUUGUAACUUGACUUAAAAAAUCAUUUCUAUCUAAAAUCCUCACUCUGCGCUUGCAGGUUGUCAUCCCUGAUAUCAUCUCCGGAAGCCAAUCAGCGUUCAUUAAGGGCCGAAGAAUCACUGACAACAUUCUUAUUGCCAAUGAGCUGGUUCGGAACUUUCAUCUUUCUUCUGGUGCUGCCAAGGCCUGCCUCAAAGUAGAUCUUCGGAAAGCCUACGACAGCGUGAACCGGCAAUUUCUCUUUCACACCUUGAAAUGUCUUGGGUUUAUUGAAACCUGGAUCUUGUGGAUUAAGGCCUGCAUCGGUGACCCCAUGGUUUCCAUCCUUGUCAACGGGUCCCCCGUCGGAUUCUUCCAAUCUCAAAGAGGGCUGCGACAGGGAGAUCCCCUGGCCCCAUAUCUUUUCGCUAUUAUUAUGGAGGCGUUUAUUGUUCUUCUGGAAAAGGCGAUGAUCAAGGGUGCAUUCAGGAGUAUGAAAUUAGGUGUCAGUAUCCAAAUUUCCAAUUUCUUUUUUGCUGACGACCUCCUGGUUUUCUCUAAAGGUGAUCUUCAGUCCCUGGCUGCCAUCCAACAAGUUUUCCAAGAGUUCGAAGCUCUAUCUGGCCUCUCUAUCAGCCAAGAAAAAAAGAGUAAGCUUGACUUUCACCGGGCCUGCACUUGUAAAGCCUCUAUCUGUCAGAGACUUGGUAUCGAAUAAGGCUGCCUCCCCAUUAAAUACCUCGGACUCCCCUUCAAGACUUUCUGCAAUUUUUUGCCGUCCGCUGGUUGAUAAAGUCAGAUCCAGACUUGAGAGUUGGAAGGCUCGUACUUUGUCUUUCGCCGGGAGGCUUGAGCUGGUCAAGUCUGUUCUCUAUAGCCUCCAGACCUAUUGGGCUUCGGCUUUCCACCUCCCGCGGUCAAUUAUAAAAUUUAUUGAAGUUUUGUUGAUGAAUUUCCUUUUGAGGGGUGCUAAUUCCAGUCCAAAGAUCCAUUGCAUUAGCUGGUCUUCUGUUUGUCGGCCUAAGAAUGAAGGAGGGCUUAGCUUGCGCAGGUUACACGACUGGAAUGAUGCUGCCAAAACAAAAAGCUGCUCUGGUUCCUAAUCUGUGAUAACACAUCUCUAUGGGUGAAAUGGUGCAGGGCCAAGUAUUUCAGCAAGGAAAGCAUAACGGAAGUCUCGCCUAAAGCUAAAGACAGUUGGGUCUGGAAAGAAAGGUAUAUUUGAAAUCCAAGAUAAUGCCGCAUCUGCUAUUCGGCAUAUUAUUGGAAACGGCUAAACCACCAAGCUCUGGUCUGAUCCUUGGUUCCCUCAUGGAAUUAUUAAUCAGCUCGUCUGCCUUCGAUUGGAUUUUCUUUUUGGAGAGGUAACUGCAACGUCAGCGUACUUAUUCGGGAAGGGAAAUGGCACCGUCCUAAUCAUAAUUCCCCGGAUCUUAACGCCCUCUGGCCCCUCAUUUCUGCAGUGGAGUUUCCAGCUAAUGGUCCCCCGGAUAGGGUAGUUUGGACUAAAGAACCUUCAGGCCGAUUCUCCUUUAGAUCUGCCUGGGAUCUGAUUAGGACUCAUCACCCGUCUGUUCCGUGGUCGAACUUGAUUUGGCACAAGGAUCGAAUCCCGAGACAUGCUUUCACUGCUUAGAAGGCUCUUAUGGCUAAGUUACUCACUCAGACCGAACUUCAGCACCGAGGAUUCCAGCUUGUCUCUUACUGCUCCCUGUGUAAGGCGAAGACCGAAGACAUUUCGCAUAUUUUUUGCAGAUGUCACUACUCUGCCUGGGUUUGGCAAGUCUGCCGCCUCAAACUGGGACUUAAGCGGAAGUCUGAUUUUUCCUUGCAUCUUGAAGCGGCUCAGCUUGGACAGGUUUUCAAGGGGAGAAGUCAAGUUAGUGCUAUCAGUAGAGUUGCUUUCUCGGCUUGCAUCUGGCAUCUUUGGGGAGAACGCAAUAGAAGGAUCUUCGAGGCCAAAGAACUCCCUAAAGACAGACUUAUCCUUCUUAUAGUGAUUGAUGUUGGUGCCAAAAUCAAUGCUUCCAAUCUGUCUGAGAAGGAGAACCAGAAUUCCAAGGAUAUCAUAGAACAUUGGGGCUGUAACUUCACUCCUAAAAGCUCCAUUGUUAAGACCUGUUUAUGGGAAAAGCUCCCUCCUCAAUGGCUUAAACUUUACACUGACGGCUUUACAUCCAGAAGUUGCUCUGGCAUUGGCGGUAUCAUUAGAAAUAAGUGGGGUGACCCUGUUCUUUCUUACUCCAAGCAGCUGCCGAAGGAAGACAUUUACCUCAUAGAAUUGCGGUCUAUACUGAUGGGAAUUUUGCAUCUUUAUCAGACCUCCGGGUCGAGGAAAAUUUGGAUUGAAACCAACUCCAAAAUUUUGAAAGACUGGAUCUCUAAGCUGGUUGAUCCCCUGUGGCGUGUCAUGAUUAUUAUUUCUAAUAACAUCUUUGCCAAACUCAAUUCCUUUCUUUCUUGAGUGGAGAAUAUCCCACACUUGGAGAGAGGCCAACCGUGCGGCGGAUUUCCUUGCUAGCUACUUCCCCUCGGAGAAUUCAUUUUGAAAAAACCCUAAUGCAUGGGGAUGACCUGCCCCCGAAUCUCAGGGAUAUUCUAGCUGAAGACAAGAGAGGAACUCCUUAUCUAAGGGUGCAUUACUAGCUUGCUGUCUUGUCUUUUUGGGCUGUAUAUUAGUUAGUGUUGUAAUGGCCUCGGGCGACUUUUGUAUUCUUUUCCGCCAUUAAGAAAAUCUUCUCACCGCUUACCUAAAAAAAAAUAAUUCGAUAGAACUGCAAAACCACCUUUUCAAGAUCCAAAGCUAGCCAAGGUGGUCAUCUCGUUCACACCAAGCAAAAAACUAUAAAAAAUAAGCAACAACAAAGAAGGACAAAAAAACCCAGGGAUCGAUGAGGAUACGGGAAAUUCUUGUCUCAUUCACUUGCCCCCUGAGAUACAAAGGCCUGCCUGCUAUGGUCGCGAUCCCCCAACAUCAUGUCCUCCGUGGUGAAUGUAAUGGCUCCCGCCGUCUCAGCGUAAGCUACCUCACGAUACUUGGAAAGCUUGGCGAAGUCAGUCUGAGACUUUCCUCGUACGUAGACAGUAAAAAGAGCCGGGAUCUUCCUCAAAUGAGCUAGGACGUUGUCAUCCACGCCGCUGCUAUUCUUUUUAGGUGGAGUUGGAGCUGGAGCUGGGACAUCCGGGGCUACCAUAGGCUCCUUUCCUUUAUCUUUACUCUUCGAUGCUUCAACAAGUCUCUUUCCCUUAUCUUUUGCAGGUUCCUGGGAAGACUCAGACUUCUUUCCUUUCUAUGUGGAGGGUUCAGGUAUCCGGUCUCGAGGACGCAAUUGCAUAUUCAACACCUCAACUGCUUCCUCUACCUCCCUUAAGGAGUUAAGCUCCAUCUGUCCUCCAAUAGGACGUUCCGCGAGAAGCGCAUCCUGGGGAGUCACGUCAACCAUCCCACAGAAUUCGACUUGACUUUUCUUGAACCUUCGGUCAUGCAAUGUGCUAACCAUCUUGGUUUGAGUCGGAGGAUUGAGAAGCGCAUCCUCACCUAGGGCUAACCUUCCUGCCUCGUACUCUCUUUGCAUCCCAUUCUGAAAGACCCAACAAUCUUCGAGAGGGUGGUGUACGUAUCGGUGAUACGGGCAGUAGUUAGGAUCGUCCUUUCGAUCCACCUCGUUGGGUCUUUCUUUUUGGUUCUGGGAGGGUUCGACGAUCUUCUUAUCAGCACUAUUGUGAACAGCGACCUCACUUUGUCCGGCCUGAAGGAGUACUGCAUCUCGGGACUACCACGAGGCUUGCGUUCUUUAGAAAGAAGAAAGACCGGAAGCCUUAGAUGAGGUUCCAGACAGAAAUUGCUUCUCAGGAAGCCGAGAAGGUAGGCUAAUAGACCGGAUUGAGUCGAUCAACAAGCAGAAUCGACAUGAACCUUAACGUUGAAAUGAGAGAUUGGUGAAAUGAUUGCACAAACAAAGCCUGAUGGGGUGGUUUGCUCCUAAAAUAGUCCACCCAUCCUAAAAGUGGUCUUCCAAGCAAGAUGAAAUACUCGAAUCAUCCGUUGAUUAUACUUUGUCAAGCGAUUGGAGUGACCACAGAAGCGGAACGGAAAAGGGAAGAAAGAAGCAAUCGGCGAAGGGAGAAGGCCCGGUGAAGACUCACCUUUUCUCGAGGAAGGAAAGAGGCAGCUGUCAUCCAAAUAGUGGAUUCAGUGAGUCGGAAUGGUCAAGCAAGAGAGAUUGAUUCCAUGUGAGAUCUCAAGAACGAGUGGAAAGUCAAGCGCAUUGGUUCCAGUUCCAGUAGAGCAAAGAGUGGGUGGAUUGAACAAUGGAAGUCGAAGUAGUCCAAAGGUGAGUCUGCCAGUCCAGAGUUUGGUCAACCGAUCAGCCAAACCUUUUGAGUUGUCAGUCGAUUCGAAAGCGUGCCACUAAUAAGCUCACUUUAGCGCCCUUUCGGAUGGCCAGUUCUGAAUCAGAGUGGCUAGUGCGGUAGACUGUUUUUUUUUCGGUACUCUUUUUUUUAUAUAGCGCUUGGAUUUCUCGACUAUAGAUAUCUCGAGAUAUAAGUAGUUCUUUGGGUUGCUUCAGCCGAGAAGGAUCCGACUAACGGGGGAGAAGGAGGGUGAGUCAAGGCCUCUUUGUCUACAAGUCGAGUUUGAUCGAUUUGUGAUAUUAUAUCGGAGACUUCUGACCUUAAAAACGUAGAUUCUUGUGCCCAGAGACUCUGACGCUUUGCCAUUUACUGGAUUUCUUGUUCUAGUACCAAUAGGUGAUGACUAGUGCACUAACCGACUCUUGAUUACCGUUUUUUGCUUACUCUUUUUUGGCCUGGAAGAGCGAACGAUCCACCUGGACAACUAAACUGAGACAAGCCCAAUCUUUACGUUAGCCUGAAGCCAAUAGAGUAAGCGAAUAAGAGAUAGCCUAGUUGCUUAUGGUAACAAGUUUGAUCCUAUAGUACCGGACUCGCCGUAUUAAAACCUGUUUUUCCUAUUGUUUUUGGCGACCUUAUGACAUUGUAAUCUUAGUAUCCGCUUGUCAGCCUUCUUUUUAUUCAGGUGAAGUGGCAGAAAUGUAAACCUUGUAGUUCUAACUCUUUUUACCAAUAAAGGAUACUGAGAGAAAGAAGGUGGAUAGGAAUGUUCCAACUGAAAGAGAUGAAUAAGAAGAGCAAUAAGUAAUAGAAAGAAGGUUAUGUAAUACAGACAGAUUUUAGUCAACCACAGAGCUAACCGCUGCCCUAAGAAAGCUAGAGCGAAUAGGCGCUUGUGCGCUUGCAGAGUGAGGGUCGGGCUGAUCCAAGAGUUCUGGUUCCGGUUCGAGAACCACUUCUUCCUCUGCAAACAAAAAAUGGGGCACACCAGCCCUGUCAGUGGAGUUGCACUCGUUGUUCCAUCUUCUUAAUCAAAGCAAAGUCAGAUUCCAACCUCGGACACAUCCUCUUCUCAUUGAUCUGUGGAAUCGGCCCGCUGUGAGCCAACAUUGGAACCAGGUCUUUUGAGUCUCCUACUCCUCUUGCUCUUAGCCCAGUACUGGAGGUCGAGUGGAACUGGUUUUCCGGAAGCAAGAAAGACUCCUUUUGUUUAGUGCUCAAAGGCAAGUCAAUAAAUCGAUAGAAACUAAAUAAAGGAAGAACAAUCAUUCAUUGAUGUAGUCGAUCAAGCAGAACAGAAUCUAUCUCAUUGAAUAGGGAAAGAGAGAACUAAGGAAUGCCAUAAGGAGAAAGGAAUCCGAUAAGAGAGAGAAAUCACAAAAGGAAGUGGACUCCAAGAAUCCGAGAGUCUCAGUUUAGUUUCUAUCGAGUGUAAGUCAUUCAGUCCCGACAGCCUCCCACCCUAGACCUAUAGUUUCACGUGGGAACUAGGACCACUUUCUAGUUGGUACUACAACGCACAAGCGGUAAGAGCAAACUGUCUUAUUGGUUUCCUUUAUUGCGACGUACUCUAUGGGCUUAUCGUCCCCCUCCCUACACGUCGACCUUUUCCUUGCUCUGGCACUGAUUGACCAGCUUCAUCGUCAACAUUCUCAUUCCCAUAGCUUCUCGGAUGACGACUGCUGACUUUGUCUUCAUUUCAUUCUUUGACUGCUAUGAGCUUGAGGCAGAGUCGGCUGAAGGUAGAAGGAGAAGAAGAGAUUUUACUAUGCCCUUCCGAUCGAAAAAAAGAAGAUAAUUGCUCUGGAAAACUUGUGAAAUUCAUCUGAUGGGCUUUUCUUUCCAUUGAAUAGGAAUCGCCCGGUCAACGGUGAUAGCUGCUCGCCUCCUUCGAUGAAGACAAAGAUUGAUUGCUAGCUUUAGUUAGGCAGUAAGCGAAAAGGUGGGCUCUCCCUCUUGGUAAGAAGGUCCGAUCACGGGCUUAUAGCGGGCUCUCUCUCUUCAGGUGAAAAGCUCUUUUCAAGCAGUGACAGAGAAGUGGGAGACAGAGCUUGAGGAAGAGGUAGGCGGCAAUAAAAAAGGUAGUCUAUCCAUUCUGGCGUUCUAGGCUUAAAGCUCAAUCCGGUAAACCUACCUUGUUUUUUCAAAAAUUUGUAUUCUUUCCGGGACGAGUGGGCGAAUCAUGUAGUUCUUAAGCUCCUUACCGUAGUUGGAAUAAGUAUGAAAUAUCCCUAAAGUUGAGAAAGAGUAGUUGGUUGAAUAGGCCUUUAUCUUACUCUUCGAGACAAACGAAUCAAACUCUUGUUUGGGAUCCACUAGUUCUUUGACUGGAUCAACGUAUGGAUCUCCUUUCGGCUCUGCUCCCGUCUGAGCCUGUUCUCUCGCUGGAAACGUAUUUUGUCGAUGAAGGGAAACGGCCAAUUACAAGCAAUUGUUGCUACGUUUUUGUACUCGACUGGUAUCAUACAUAAAAAGAGGGAUAGGCUUCCUGGAAAGAAAGAGUUCUGUCGGGUUUUUAGACCUUAAAACGACUCUGUGUUCUUUGCCAACCUAUUUCAUACCGUACUCGUCGUACUUCCUCUUCUGCAAUCAUCAUGGUAAGCUUAAGCGCUUAAAUAGUGUGUAUUUUCAAUCGUAACCAGCCCUUACCGCGAUCAGCCUUUACCGGCUAGACCGAGGAGAGAGGAACAGAAGACUCUUGAUUUUAGGCUUGUUGUAUAGUUUCGAUAGUAACAGCUUCUCCAACAAGGCCUCUUGAGCCUCGGGCGCAGUUGAAGAAAGAUUCUCCUUCGGCUUGUCUUUGUCGGAUUUCUUUUUCGUCUGCUUCUGGGGUGCGUCUGUGUCAGCGACGGCUGUCUGCUCUUUAGGGCGACAACCCUUGCUCGAAACACCGAAGCGGCGAGUAUCCCGGGCUGUUUGAUCAGCAUUGCGCUCUGCCAGCGCUCGCUCUAACCCACCCGUUUGCCAACGAAGAUAGCAUGGCGAAAGAGGAAACUGGGGUCGUAUGCAAAGCAUAUUUCAGAUCGAAGAGACGGUUGUCGAUGCACAUCUGGACUUCAGGCUCAUCGAGCUCCUUUUCGCACUGAAGCGUUAACUUCAGCCAUCGGGCAAGAGUUGCGUCAAACGGUUCUCCCUUCGUCUGCUUUGUAGCAAGGAGCUCCGAAUAGGAAAGGCUUCGAGAGACUGAAGAAAAGCGCCUAUGAAAGGCCUCGACCAUUUGCUGCCAUGAAUGGAUAGAGUUGGGAGGAAGCCUCCCAUACCAACUAAAGGCUACACCAGACAACGAGGCCGAGAACUGGCGGAAUAACAGACGCUCGUCGUGAGCCGUGUCUCCACAGCUGGUCUCGAAAUGAGCGAUGUGCUCGACCGGGUCUCCGGUCCCAUCGUAGAUCCGUCACUGGGGCAUAACAACAUUUAAAGGAAAACGGACGGAUGCAGUGGUAGCGGGUCAGGCUUACGAUAGCCUUGGUUGGGAUCGUCGCCUGACGCGCGUCAUUCGUUUGAAAUAAUCUUCCGGAUUUUCUGCUCUGUUAGCAGAGCGUUUGGAGGCCGAGGCUCAUCCGGCUGUUCCGGGUUGCACUCGUCCGCCCACCUGGGACCUAUCGAGGGGAGGGAAGUGGAAGGUUGACGUGAGGUGGACGGCCCUCCUGGUCUUCACCUAAUUGUGGAAGAGGGGAGUAUCAACUCUCUCUCGCGCCUUUCUUCAGCUUGCUUCUUCCUGUUCGUCCAUUCGGGACGGGGCAGGCAGCCCACAUACAUGAAGAGAAGAAGAGGGGGGUUCCUUGUCUGUCGGUCGAAGAAGGCAACAAGUGGAAGCAACCGAUGCUUUGGUCAUUCAGUUGACUCCUCUGUGCUUGCUGUCAUGCUGGCAAAAGCGGGGGUUUCGGCCGGUUUUACCUACUAUUGGAUUUGAACCAAUGACUCUCGCCGUAUGAAAGCGAUACUCUAACCGCUGAGUCAAGUAGGUCAAGCUGAGUCAAGUCAGAGAAAAUAGACUAUAAGAGAAAGCCAACCAAAGCGCAACCAGAGUUCUCCGCGGGGUGGAGCGCUAAGAAAGAGAAAGCGUUAUCGCUAUACGAAAUGAAGCAGCGGCUAGCACGCUAAGAUAAACCACUUGGAAAAGGCGUCGCCUUUCUUUCUCGGUCGUCUGUCUUAAUUCAUGUUGUAAUGCGGUCGUUCUCUGCUGCAUUGGUGUUUUCACUCCCCACUCUCCACCAUAACCAAAUUUUUCUACCAUAUCUCAGGAGUAGUCAAAGGAAGUACGGCGGGUCCAAGUAGGAAUAAAUUCACUAAGAAGUAGGGGCAUACAUAAAUGGAUCAAUUCAUUCAAAAAGAUCCGUUCGGAUCGAACCAGGAUGAAUGGGAUUGGUCUGACCUCUCGCUCGGAUGGUUGACUCCCGCCGACGACAGAUGUCCCAUGCCACGUUUCGUGAACAGCUAUGCCCGAGAAUGAAUGAAUUGUAAAUUAGCGCCGAAUAAGCCACUGACUGUAGAAGAGGAAAUGGGGGGCCCUAUACCAUACAUCCUGCUGCCUCGGGACGACUGCACGUUACAUCAUAGCAGCACCACCAAAUGGUGGAGGCGGAAAGCAGCUUCAAAAGAAGGGCGGGGCUUCUGACUGAACACCAACCGGAACCGACAGAAGCGAAGGUGCAAAACCAACCGUCUCUGCUUAUAAUGAGAAGCGUGUCACUGCAUGCCUCCGAGGGGACGCAAAGCAAACUUUAUCAUUUUCUUUGGUUGGAGAAAGGGCGGGGUCUUGAUCUGGUGGUUGUAAGCAAGAUCGAUCAAGCUCAAUCAAUAGAGGAGCUAAACUUUUCCACCAGACAGGUGAUACAGCAAGGAAAAUGACUGAUGAUUGAAGGGCCGGACCCUCUAUUUGAAGCGGAGAGUGGUCAAAGAAAGAUGGGCGGUUCAAUCGAUAGGUCUGUGUAACGGUAGGCUCUUCAAUCAAUCACUCGAUAUGGUCUUAUCUCUCCAAACGGUGAUCCAUCGUCUCAGUCCAUCACUAGGGCCCUGAGAUGGAAACCAUCCACCGGAGCAAGGGUUAGCCAAGCCUUGGUCUCGUUGGAUUGCGUGAAGGCGCGCUACUCACGAAUAUCUUGCAAGCAAGAUUUUUGAUUCACUCUCGUGUGAGUGCAGCGUACCGGGUAGGGCCUUAUCUUAGUUCCUGCACCCGACAGCUUCUUCUCUGCUCAACUGUGCACCAUGUAUUUGCAUAGUCGAUCGAUGAUCGACCGACCUUCGUUGCCUCAUUUCAUGAGCGGUACUUACGAUUUUUCUCGGUACACGAGAUCCAAUGUAACACAUAAUUGAAACAUGUGCAACAUAAAUAAAGAAAGAGAAUCGACUCGAGUCGAUUCCCCGUGCUGCAUCGAAAUGCUUUCCCGCUUCUCGUGACCCUUCCUGUCUGGCUAUGACAUUAGGUGUCGACCCUUCUAUUCAAUUUGUGAAGAAGCUCCGGUCGAGGGGUUGGAUCCCUAAGUCCCCGGUUUGGACAGUUUUCUGUAACAGUGUCAUGGCCAAGUACGGAGCUGAGCUGGAAAAGGCUAAUUUCCUUGAUGCCGUCCAAGCCACUAGUGUGUACGUCUAAUGGUCUCUAACGUGUUCAAGGCCUUCUUGGAAAUCUUUUGUUGGGAGACUAACACGUGCCUAACUCCCCAUGGUGAGUUAGGCUUCUCUCUCCCGGACAUGUUGGCCCUCUCUCAUCUUCCAGCCAGGGGUUUCCCUUACGAGGAGUUUUUCCCAACCAAUGAAGAGCUCGAGGUCAUUCGCCAGUCAAACCCUACUUUCUAUCAUGUGAUGGCCGAGUUAUUCCUUUACUUCCAGAUCAUUCCUUAUUUGUAUGAUCAGGACAACCGUGUUGGCGUUAAGCACUGGAUGCUCCAUUUCUUUGGCGUUCAUGAGACCAACAAGGGGAAAAGGGGUGAAGUUAAAGUCCAGUUCAGGUAUCCUUCCACCGAAGGAACAUUCCUCUGGCUACCAAGUACAAGCUAUCACUUGAGCCCUCUCCUUGCGAAGCUUUGGAUAACAAGCCUGUCCAACUCCCUCUCUUCAUAGAUCAGCGUCCGAUGCAUGUGCUAACUCCUUGUGGGCCGCUUUCUUCGUACUUUGGCUACGCCGAUGUGUCGUUCCAUGCAACAAAGGUGACUACAUUGACCCAGGGUUAUUCUACAUUGUAGCGCGGAUGGCUACAAAGACAGGGGUGGCCUUAUGCCCUGCAAUGAUUGCCACGCUGUGUAGCGGGUUUGCGAAGCAUACAAAGAAGGUUUCCAAAAUUCAUGAACACUCGACCCCCUACCCUGGUCAUUACUUUUACGCCUGGUAUGUUAUGCACUUCCAUGUGUUCCAUUCUCUGAAAAGCGAAUCAAAGCCCGAGCACGCGCAUCUGGCGCGGUUGGAAAGCCAGGGCUUUCACAACUGCUCUCUUCAAGAGGCUCGAGAGAGAUUACGUCAGAAAGACAUGAUGACCCGGUUCGUCCCCCUUUCGCUACUGACAUGGUGCUUUUUCUAAAGGAUGAUGGUCCUAGAGGACGCUCUUCCCUGUCCAACUCCGACAUAAUCUGGCUUCGCUUCAUUCGGCCUAAAACAUUCGUCUUUCGUCAAUCUAAUUCGGUCGAGCUGCAGCCUUAUUUACCCAGCCGCUUUGCAAUUCAACUUGGCUAUUGUCAGAGUAAGGUUGGUAACCCAAAUACUGACUUAGCCCGAAGCGGUAAUACGGUUGAUGCUGCGAGGGCAUGGUUCGAUUACACGGAUGUUGAUACAGGCUCUUCCUUCUCUGGCCCCGUCUUGGGCAAAGCAGUACACUGGUCCCAUGAGCACGUCAGAUGCUGGAGUCAGUCGAUGGUGUCAACCAGCCUUCCACGCGCCAGCCCGUAUGUUUUGGUCUUUCGGUAGAUAGAAGCCUGCCUUGGACCAGCGAGAUGCUUCCCGAUGAGGAGAAGCAUGAAGAAGACUAAGACGCAACUCUUUACCUCAGCUCACUAAUCUUGUUCUGAUCAAGGACUUUCAACCGCUUAUUCGCUCUGCACACGAACGAGACUAAAUGGGGCGCUACACCGGUCACCAGGGCAUCAGUUGUCCAAGCUCUCACGCUUAUGGAAUGUCCUGGCCAUACUGCUCUAUGGGGAAGGCCACAACGCAGGGACGCGGCAAGAUCGCAACUACCCGGCUACACUCACUCCUAUCGGGUCACUAUCCUAUGGCUGGAAACACAAUAGGAAACGACCUCCGUCAUCACAUGCAUUGAGCAGGGUAGGGAUCAGCAACACAGACCAAAGGCACCGCGCCUCGGCAUGACUCUCACAGCACCGGCUGCUUACAGGCAAGGAGCCAGAACAGGAAGACAAUGAACAACCACUCGCUGUACACGGCUGAAAUACCACUAGAUCAAAGAGGAACAGGUGCUGUAGUGUAGGCAAAGCAAAGAACAAACAGAGUAGGAGAUAGGGCUGCCAGAAAGGGGUCCAUAAAUGAUGGACUGUGGAUAGGGGGAAAGCGGAGGGGAGAUCGACCGCCAGCAGCAGCAACCGUUGUUUAGCACGACACAGCAGGAAACUGAAUAGGCACGGAAGGACGCAUGCAGAUAGACAGGCAGAAACAGAAUAGCAAACCGCCAUUACGGUAGCACGCUUGGUGUGAGCAGGCUAGGCUAUAAGGGAAAGGGCAGACAUGCGCCAAAGGCAGAGCCAUACAAGGAGCACGCCCACUGAAGAGAGCACGCCACAAAGCAGAGCACAGAGCGCACGACCAGCGAGCCAGCACCAUAAGCAAAAUUCGCUCCAUGCGAAUUCCCCAUACGAUACGUAUCCUCACUCACAGACUGUAAUCCAAGCUGCACUUCGAGUUAGAGAGAGAAAGCCUUCCCUAAGGUGAUAGGGAUAAAGCGCUCUACGGACCGCUCAUGGACGAAGCGAUGAAGGAUUCCACUGGACAAUUAGAAAUCCUAUGUGUUAAGCAUUGAUUGCAACAUCGGUUUAGACGGAUCCAACACGUAAUCGACUCGAGGAGAAAUGGUCCCUUCGGAUCUAUUCUAUCGAAGAGAUCUUUCCCUAUGUCAAUUGUCGAUUUCGGUCGGGAGACUACUCUAGAAAGAUUGAUUCCAAAACCACAACUGUACACCACCAAAGGGACCACGAAAGCAAAUAUGAGCCCCGAGACUAGGAUCCAGCCUUCUUCCGAGAGGAAAGAGCGGCUCAAGAAGUGGAACUACUAAGACCCGCGAGGGUCAUCCUUUCUUGAAUCGUAGCUCUCUCACUUAACCUGACCUGCCUACCACUUAGAGGUUCAUUUUCCAGCAAGUACCAAAAGACCAAUGUUUUUCCGGUCUCAACCAAUAAGGAGCUUCUUAAGAGGCGGAGGGAACUGCCCAAGGCUAUAAGGUUAGGAAGGAGAGGAGGGCGUAGCUUUAAAAGUGAAGGAGUUGUCCCUCAGAGAUGAAGGAGCUGUUCGUUCGCCCAGGGCCCGAAGUACUGUGCUAUCCCCCCGCCUAAGGUUUUAGAGGUUGCUGAGUGGAGCACUUCCGGGGAACGGGCCGUGGGCGGGUAGAAAGAAGAGAAGGAACCCGACUUCCCUCGAUAGAUAAGGGAGGGACUGUUCAUGUCGCUAUUAGGUAAAUCGAUUCAGAGGUUGAUUCCGGCCCUCAAAACGCACGAGAAUUGUUUUAGGGUGAAUCACCUGUGAGGUACGAAAAACGGACGUUUUUAUGGGCAGACUUUGAAUCCCGUCGGACAAGGACUAGAUCACACCGAGCGCUCUUGGUCAAUCCUCCGAAUGAACAAGCAGACCAAGGAAAGUGCUCGCUUAUAGUCACACCUGUCUUUUGCCCCUGCUCAAGCGUCCCAGCCUUUACCUUAGGGGGAGGUUUGACUACUCAGAAGAGUUAGACUUGGCUUAUGCAGGCGGACAUGUGUAUGGAGAUGCUAAUGUGUAUGGGAGUGCCGAUAGAGAUGGGUGGGUGGGAGUGUUUAUAGAGAUUCUAAGACGUGUAUCUAUCCGUACGAAGACGCCGAUCCCAGGGAUGCGUCUGCCUUUGCAAGUGCAGGUGUGGAUGAAACGACCCGUGGAAAAAGAGAAAAGGGAUCUGCUGUUUCGACGCCGCUGUGGAUGCGGGAUUGGAAAGGCUUUUUGUGGUGGCCUCUAAUGCAAAAAAGAAGGAAUGCAGAUGGGGCCUCAGAUUUUGAAGCCCUUGACGGUACGUUCGGGUGGGGCUGCUUUUGGUUCGGAGAAUGCUUGCCUGUUUCGGCUUUACGCCUUUUUCCCAUGCAUGGAAGGUGGAGGGUCGCAGACCGCUCGACGAGUGGAAAGAAAAGAGGUCGGCCACUAAGGUUGUUGCUAUUCGAGGAUUCCGGCUGAAGAGAGCACAUGCCCAGUUUUUAUAAUCACCUGACCGGUGUGUAUAAUUAAUUCAUAACCAGACUCGCAACUGAUUUGUAGCAGGCUAAGAAAAAGAAGAAGAGUAGGGAUUUUACAGACCAAAGAAUGGAAUAGGCGAGAGCCUCGUCUCAGGCCGGGUGUGGCCAGUCAGCUCUGAUACCAUACUUGGGUUGUGAAACCCCCUGCUUUAAGGUUUUCGAGAGGAAAGGAAAAAAAAGUGAUAUGAGCAGCAGGAAAAAAAAAGUAUUUUAGUACCGACCUUAUGGUUAUUAUUCUUUGAUGGUUCACACACGAGCCGUGGUUCUGGAGUCGGCAUAGCUCUUUAUUUACCCAUGGGGCCAUGAGUUUUCUAGUUAGACUUCCCGACCAACAUAGCCGAAUAUUAAGUGGUUUGAAGAUGGGCUUUCGAGAUGGAUAUUCCUAUGGAGAAGAUUUCAAAAACAAGGGAUGAGAAAGAACAGCCUGGAAAGCUAAUUGUGGACAACUUUUUGAAGUGCUUCAACCACAUACAUACUCAUAUCUAGGAUGGGUAAUAAGCAAGCGGAUGUAAUGGUAGCCAAGACAUCCAUGUUGUCUUUCACUGAUGAUAAUCCCCUUUGCAUUAUAGGUGUAAGGCAAAUUCCAAUGCCUGCACAUCACUGUUUUGUUAUAAGCCUUUCACUCUCCCAGCCUGUGCCAACAUGCCUAAACUUUUGUUCUAAAACAAAAAAGACUAUGCCCCGCG
rnacentral:lncRNA from 1 species